rnacentral:lncRNA from 1 species
GAUAUAUUAUGGGAAAAGAAAGAUUUGUUUUUUUUUUCUUUCUUCCACUCAUCUGGCAUUCUCCGGAGACUUUUCUUUCCAGGAGAUUUUUUUUUUCACGGCUAGCUUAUCCUCUCAUCCGGCAUUCUCACGACACGUAGCUUUCUAGCCGCUCUUCCCAUCCAAAUCACUCCACGCAUGUCUUAGUGCGUGGUAAAAAUCUCACCGCUGUUGAUCCUCUCGCGAGCUCGGCUUCCAGCUGUGUCCGGUGUUGUCUUCAGCCGCCGCACCUGAAGCAACUCGCCUCUCUGUUCUUCCACGCAGCACCAGACGCACGACUCUCCUCUGUCUUCUCUGUGCCGCCUCCUCGCCGAGCUGCGCGCUGCCAACCGCGCUGGUGAACUCGCCCGGUCCGGCGCACUGCUCAUCUCGGCUCCUUUGGAAAUCCUUCGCGAACGUCUCGCCAAGUUGUCAGGCCCGUCUUCGAGUUUGGUGGAGUCCCAAGCUUGCGCGCCGUCGGCCUCUUCCUCCUGUGUCCUAACGUCGUCGUCCCUGCUCACUUCAUCCAACUGCUCCCUUCAUCUCGGCCGAACUCGACGUCCAGCAAGCCGCCUGCUCGUGUUCCAUCUCUUCAACCAUCAGCUUCCGUGGAACACACUGGUAGGGGUUCUAAUCCCUGAAAUUGAUGUGGGGUGUGUGUUUAAGCGUGUAUGGGGGUGCUCUCUGUGCAUCGGAUUAGAGGUUAGAUGGUUGCCGAUAGCUGUUGUCGUCUGGAUUUGGCCGGCGGGGAAAAGGGAUCACCCUGUGCAUCACGUUGAAGAAGAAAGGGCUCUUUGUGUGAAAAAGAGAAGUCUAGGGGUUUGUUGAAAACAGUUUUAGAGUUUUCUUUUAUUUCAGGAUUUGUACUAGAAUUAGAAGUGCUGUAGAAAAUUGUAGAAAAAUGCUAAAAAUACGAAACCAGUUUUGUUGAGUUCACAAGAAUGAGUACUUACCAAUAAAAAUAUUGGUUAGGUAAAAACUAUGAUUUUUAUGUGUCGUUUCUGUUUUAACAUAGGUUACUAAUGCUCAUUUAAUUUCCUGUAAUAAAUAUCUCUCUCCUAAAACCCUGAAAAUUUUUAUGGGUAAUAUUUAGGCUUAGAUUAGCUUACAGAAAAAAGUUUGAUUCAAAUUGGAGUAUGUUAAGUUAGAUAACUAAUUUAAGCCUAUUAAAAAAUGCCUUUUAAAGAAAAUAUUUAAGUAAUUAAGAAAAAUCGAAUAAUAGUUAAACUGUUUGUAGUGUUGAGUGAAGUCCAUGGACCACUAACACCCAAGUUGGCCCAUGACGUGUGUAAUUAUUUUCAAGGAUCUUACGUCCUUCGCUUAGCAACUAGAAUUUAUGGCGGUAACAUAGUGCAAUUGUACCGGGUAAGGAUAGUAUGCUUGUGGUUUUAUCGUUUAAAUUCUUUUUAUUGCAUUUGUGUCCAUUUCAUCGUCACAUCAUGAUCAUAGCAUGCAUCUUUACUGCACGUGUAGAUCACGUUGUCUGUUGAUCAAUCACUUGGUGGAGUAAUUUUCUAGAGACCGGUCAUCACCCUGAAGACUCGUGACAUUUUAUUUUCUUAGUCUUCGGCUCUUCUCUGCAACAAAGACAAGCCCCGGUGCAUCCACCACUUUCCUUGUUGUUUACAAAACUUUUAUCACUUGAUAUGAUGCAUUAGGUGAUAGGAAUUGCGUGAUCAAACAAUUGAUGCAUUACCAACCUUGAGAAUUUGAAUAAUCAUUCCUUGAUACCUGUUUUAUGAACAACUAGUGCUGCUUAGCCCUACUUAAAGUGAUAAGAUUUUUUUUGAAAUUUAUUUUUAUUACUGGUUAUUGUUAUGUGUUGUCGGCGUUUCGAACCCGGGGAGUCCCUGGACCGACGAGUAAAUUGUCGCCGCGUGUCCCAGCCCAGAUGGUUCGGCGCGAGACGGAGCGCGAAGGGGGGAUGAAGCCGGAGGGAGACAGGCGUAAAAGGGGAAACCCGCGGCCUUCGUGUUUGUCCCGCGCCCAGGUCGGGUGCGCUAGCAGUAGGGGGUUACAAGCGUCCACGCGGGAGGGAGCGAGCGGCUUACGCGAGCGCCGUCCCGUCCUUCCACGCGCGGCCAACCCUCUGUAAGAGGGCCCUGGACCUUCCUUUUAUAGGCGUAAGGAGAGGAUCCAGGUUUACAAUGGGGGUGUAGCAGUGUGCUAACGUGUCUAGCGGAGGGGAGCUAGUGCCCUAAGUACAUGCCAUCAUGGCAGCCGUAGAGGUUUUGGCACCCGGUUCGGUGUGGUGUCGUGGCCGUCGGAGGAGUGCUGGAGCCUGGCGGAAGGACAGCUGUCGGGGCUGUCGAGUCCUUGCUGACGUCUCCUUAAUUCCGUAAGGGGGCUGAGAGCCGUCGUCGUCAUGGAGCAUGCGGGGCACCAUCAUUACUUGUUUACCGGGGCGAGCCAGAUGGGACGCCGGUCUUGUUCCCCGUAGCCAGAGCUAGCUAGGGGUAGGGUAAUGAUGGCCCCGCCUGUGACGUGGUCGGUCCGAGCUCUGGGUUGGGCGAGGCGGAGGCUCCUCCGAGGUCGAGUCUGUCUUCCAAGGCCGAGGUCGAGUCCGAGCCCCUGGGUCGGGCGAGGCGGAGACCGUCGGCUGAGGCCAGGGCUGAGUCCGAGCCCUGGGGUCGGACGAAGCGGAGUUCGUUGUCUUCCGGGGCUGAGCCCGAGUCCGAGCCCUGGGGUCGGGCGAUGUGGAGUUCGUCGUCUUCCGGGGCUGAGCCCGAGUCCAAGCCCUGGGUUAGGGCGAAGCGGAGUUCGUCAUCUUCCGGGGCUGAGCCCGAGUCCGAGCCCUGGGGUCGGGCGAAGCGGAGUUCGUCGUCUUUCGGGGCUGAGCCCGAGUCCGAGCCCUGGGGUCGGGCGAUGCGGAGUUCGUCGUCUUCCGGGGCUAAGCCCGAGUCCGAGCCCUGGGGUCGGACGAAGCGGAGUUCGUCGUCUUCCGGGGCUGAGCCCGAGUCUGAGCCCUGGGGUCGGGUGAUGCAGAGUUUCCUAUGGCGCCUGAGGCCGGACUUGGCUGCUGUCAGCUUCACUCUGUCGAGUGGCACAGCAGUCGGAGCGGAGCAGGUGGCGCUGUCCUCUUGUCAGGCCGGUCAGUGGAGCGGCGAAGUAACUGCGGUCACUUCGGCUCUGUUGACUGAAGGGCGCGCGUCAGGAUAAAGGUGUCAGGCCACCUUUGCAUUAAAUGCUCCUGCGAUUCGGUCGGUCGGCGCGACGAUCGGGCCAAGGUUGCUUCUUGGCGAAGACUGGGCCUCGGGCGAGCCGAAGGGGUGUCCGUUGCUUGAGGGGGCCCUCGGGCGAGACGUGAAUCCUCCGGGGUCGGCCGUCCUUGCCCGAGGCUGGGCUCGGGCGAGGCGAGAUCGCGUCCCUUGAGUGGACCGAGCCUUGACUUAAUCGCACCCAUCAGGCCUUUGCAGCUUUGUGCUGAUGGGUUUACCAGCUGAGAUUAGGAGUCUUGGGGGUACCCCUAAUUAUGGUCCCCGACAGUAGCCCCGAGCCUCGAAGGGAGUGUUAAUACUCGCUUGGAGGCUUUUGUCGCACUUUUUUGCAAGGGGACCAGCCUUUCUCGGGUGCGUUUUGUUCCGGUGGGUGCGACUGAGCGCACCCGCUGGGUGUAGCCCCCGAGGCCUCGGAGGAGUGGUUUGUCUCCUUCGAGGUCUUAAUGCGUUUCGCAAUGCUUCGGCCGGUCUGGUUGUUCCCUCAUGCGAGCUGGCCGUAGCCCGGGUGCACGGUCGGGUCCCAAGUUCUCGGGCUGGUAUGCUGACGCUGUCAACGGUUUGGCCGGAGCCGGGUUUGCGAGAGCAGCCCCCGAGCCUCCGCACAGAGCGUGUAACACCCCACUGAUCCCACACAAUGGAUGAUACCAAAAAAAAAACCUUUCUACAAGACUCAUGCAACACAUAGAGAAAGAAAGUACUGCAAAAACCGGCAGCACCUCCCUUGAAAGUAGCAUAACAAGGGAAGCAUAUAGUUUAUACAGGAUAUAAAAGAAAGAUAAUUGCCAUAGUAUAAUCAAAAUGCAACGGUAGAAAAGAACAUUCAUGACCAGACAAAAGAUAGACAUCUCAGCCCACCAAACUAAACAGUUCAACUACCAUGAAAGAUUAGAAUGUAGUAAUUCCCUAGACUUGACCCUUCCUGUUUAACAUCAUUAAUAAACAGUUAUUCCUUUAUUUAAAAGUGUGGUGGCCGUGCUGCUACAUCCCUUCUCUCCCAAAGCAAAGAUCAGGUGCCUGCAUCAGACAAUGCAAGAGUGAGAUGACACAUCUCAGCAAGUAAAAAGAACAAACAACAGUUGGACAAUGCAGGCCAACCGUGCAUAAGCAACCACAUGGUUCCCAACUUCUUCCUUAAAUAUUAAUUUGCAGCAAGUAAGCAAGUAAUCAAUUACUCAAUGCCAAGAUGAAUUACAAAGUAAAGAUCCACCUUAUCCACAUCACCAUAAUAGGUUCCACACUUCACCCAUGAAUGCACAUGGCUACAGAUGCAACAUGACUUCUGCCUUCAUACCUCUAAGGAUAUGAAGCUGCAUCAUACCCCUUCUCGGGAAACAUAUGAUGCUCAUUGUACCGGUACGGUCGGACCAUAAGAUCGCGACGAAAACUUCAAUGCAAUGGAUGAUGAAUGCAUUAUGCAUGUCAACAACAUGAGUUCUUCCCAAAUAAAAUGUGCUAGACAUAUACUUCCACCCAUUUCACAUCAAUAACCACAUGGGUAACAUGAUCAAACCACACCCUCCACAUGUAUAAUCAAUAAAGCAUGAAUAAUUUCAAACGAUGGUACCCAAUUAGGAAUAUGGAUACGAACACAAAUAGCACAAACAUAAUCAAGUAUGAGCCUCUUCAAUCAAAAGACGAAAUAACCAUCACUGUUUUACUUGCCUCUACCGAAGUUCGGGCAAAAUCCCUAAGAACGAUCCGGAAGUCCACCACCUGUUUUUGACACCCAACUUAGUGCACCAAAUUCUCAUGAAAAAAAAACUCAAAGACAACACCGCACCUACGCGCAAUUUCAAACCCCGCCGCGGUAACAAUUCUCCCCUCACUAACCAAACUGCAGCGGCGCUGCUUAACAAUUCCAUAACUUAAAAUUUAGGACAGCAGUGAUGAUAAACAAAAACUUCAGAGACAACUACAUAAAAUUCCCCACAAGUUUUGUAUACAACCCAUGAUUGAAUUCUAACAUCUACUUACCUCUAAACGGUCCUCAAAAUAAACCCUGCAAUCUGUUUUUUUUUAUUUGAGCAGCGACAUACGCGGAUUCAAACAGCGAUAACUUUUAAAAUAUAAUUCCGAUUUGAGCGCAUAAGUACUUGUUGGAAAGAUAAGAAAAAGCCCUACAUGAUUCUCAUACUGAUUAACACUAAUUACUCCCGAAACAUCCCCAGAAACUGCUAACACUGCUGCUGUUCAUCACUCUGAAAAAUCUGUUUUCUGGACAGCCACAUACCCGGAUUCAAACGAUGAUAACUUUUAAUUUAUAACUCCAAAUUGAGCGCAUAAAUACUCGUUGGAAAGAUAAAACAAAGUGCUACAAGAUUCUCAUACUGAUUAACACUAAUUGCUCCCGAAAAAUCCCCAGAAACUGCUAACACUGCUGCUGUUCAUCACUCUGAAAAAAUCUGUUUUCUGGACAGCCACAUACCCGGAUUCAAACGAUGAUAACUUUUAAUUUAUAACCCCAAAUUGAGCGCAUUAAAUCUUCACGAAAAAAAACUAAAAACUGCUGGAACUACCGCUGUUCAUCCACCACGCAAAAUUCUGGACAGCCCCCCCAUCUAAUCGCAAACGCAACAUCUAAUCAAUUGAAUCGCAGCGCAAAUGAACAAGGGAUGAACACAAAAGAAAAAUCACCUUGGGUUCUCCCCUUUUCCUUCCUCCCUUCUUCCUUCCACCAAAACGAUUGGAGAUUCGCACCAAAAGACGAUGAUCCGAGCGGCACGGAGUAGCACCUAGGGAGGAGGGGAUUGGGGGGGGGGGCGGCUAGGGUUUUGGUGGCUGCAACAAUGGAGGGAGGAGGAGGUGGGCAGGGGGGGCGGCGGCCAAGGGGAAAGGAGAAGUGGGGGGGGGGCUGCACAUGGGGAGGGGUAGUUAGGAGGGUGGCGGCUAGGGUUUGGGAGGCUAAUGGGCCAAAACACCAAUUGCAGCCCAACUAACCCACGCGACGGCUCCCGACUGCAACGCAAACGUCAAACCAAAUAAAUUCUACUGCCCUAGUUGCGAAUGUUGUUCACAAAAAUUCCAAAUCCCCAAAACAACAACUGGAUGAGGGAAAAAAAACAAAAAGAACAGCCCCCAACUUCUCUUCUUUGCAAACCGGGUAUCACAUUCUACCCCUCUUAAAAAGAAUUCGACCUCGAAUUCUGACGCUUCUAUCGGAAUGACACAAGAAAAGAUUAGCGAAUCAACAAAACUUACCCACAACGAAAAGUUCCGGGUACUUCUGCCGCAUCAACUCCUCAAGUUCCCACGUAGCCUCGCGCUCUGACUGAUUAGACCAUAAAACCUUGACAUACUUAAUUGAUCUCUUCCUCAACACACGCUCCGAGAAUUCCAAUAUACGCACCGGACGGCACUCCAGAGUCAGAUCCUGCUGCACCGCAAUUGGUUCCAUCUCAAUCUGAUGGUCCGGAUCCCGCAAGAACUUCCUCAACAUAGAGACAUGAAAAACCGGGUGUACCCCUGCCAUGGAAUCCGGCAGUAGCAAGCGAUAAGCCAAGCUGCCCACCCGGGCCAAGAUAGUGAAUGGUCCAAUGUAUCUUGGACUGAGCUUCCCAGAGACACCGAACCGAACAACUCCCUUAGUGGGUGAUACCCUGAGAAGGACUUGGUCACCCACAGCAAAUUCCAGAUCCCGCCUCCUCACAUCAGCAUAACUCUUCUGACGACUCUGAGCUGCCAAAAUAUUCUGACGAAUUUCCCGAACCUUUUCAGAAGUUUGCUGAACCCAAUCAGGACCAACCAGGGAUCUCUCUCCCAAAGUCUCCCAGCACAGAGGAGAGAUACACCGCCUGCCAUACAAAGCCUCAAAUGGUGCCAUCUUGAUGCUAGCUUGGUAGCUGUUGUUAUACGCAAACUCUGCCAGAGCAAGAUGGUCCUCCCAGCUACCCUUCCAUGACAGAACACAAGCACGCAACAUAUCCUCCAAGGUUUGGAUUGUUCGCUCUGACUGACCAUCCGUCUGAGGGUGAAAAGCGACACUAAGCGAAAGCUUGGUGCCCAAUGCACUGUGGAGACUCUCCCAGAAUUUGGAUACAAAUUUGGAGUCUCGAUCAGAAACAAUAGACUUAGGUACCCCGUGAAGCCUGACUACUUCCUUCAUAUACAAGGGAACCAAAUCUGAAGUUGAAUUCGUGGUCUUCAUGGGAAUAAAAUGCGCAGACUUAGUCAAGCGAUCCACUACCACCCAAAUAGCAUCCCUGCCACGAGGGGAACGAGGUAGACCCACCACAAAAUCCAUGGUGAUAUGCUCCCAUUUCCACUCUGGAAUUUCCAAUGGCUUCAGCAAACCUGCAGGCCGCUUAUGUUCGGCCUUCACGCGCUGACAUACUUCACAGGCGGCCACAUACUUAGAAAUGUCAACCUUCAUCCGCUUCCACCAGAAGUUUUGCUUCAAAUCUCGGUACAUUUUGGUUUCGCCAGGAUGGACGGUGUAAGGCGUUUUAUGAGCUUCUCGCAGGAUAUCCAGCUUCACCUCUGAUUUCUGAGGCACACAAAGACGGCCCCUGAAACGAACCAAAUCAUUCUCAUCAAUGGUGAACUCCCGCGGUUUACCAUCACCAACCCUCCUUCGGGCUUCCUGCAAAAGACGAUCCUGCUGCUGAGCCGCACGCACUCUCUCCAUAAGUGAGGAUUGAAUAAGCAUCUGAGUCUCCUCGCUAGCGGUGCCGACAUAACACAAAGCGAUCCCCAAACGGUCCAGAUCAGCGAUCAACGGCAAGGCCACCUUUGGAACCCCGGACCUGCUAAGGGCAUCCGCCACCACAUUAGCCUUCCCCGGGUGAUAAUGAAUGGACAAAUCAUAAUCUUUAAUCAAUUCUAGCCACCGACGCUGCCUCAAAUUCAGCUCCUUCUGAGUAAAAAUAUACUUGAGACUUUUGUGAUCAGUGAAAAUGUCACAAGCCUCGCCAUAAAGGUAAUGCCUCCACGACUUUAGAGCAAAAACCACCGCAGCCAAUUCCAGAUCAUGAGUUGGAUAAUUCCCCUCAUGCUUCCUCAACUGCCUUGAGCCAUAAGCAAUCACCCUGCCUUCCUGCAUCAGCACACAACCAAGACCAAUACGCGAAGCAUCCGUAUAAACUGUGAAACGCUUACCGCUCUCAGGCAAAGCUAGGAUAGGGGCGUCCACCAACUUGCUCUUCAAUGACUGAUAACUGAUCUCACAAUCGCCGGACCAGACGAAGGGAACACCCUUCCCCAAGAGCCUAGUCAAAGGCUUAGCAAUGCUGGAAAAAUUUGGUACGAAACGCCGAUAAUACCCAGCAAGCCCCAAGAAACUUCGGAUUUCAGAGACACUAGAAGGUCUCUUCCACUCCACUACAGCCGCAACAUUCUUGGGGUCAACCGCAAUACCCUGCUGAUUAAUCACGUGCCCCAGGAAAGCCACUUCAGAUAGCCAAAAGGCACACUUCUUCAACUUGCCAUAGAAUUGAUUCUUCCUUAGGGCACCCAGAACGAGACGGAGAUGCUGAUCAUGCUCGGCCUCGGUCUUUGAAUAAAUCAAAAUAUCAUCUAGGAAUACGACCACAAAAUCGUCCAAGAAUUCAUGCAGCAUCCUAUUCAUUGCUUCCAUAAACGCAGCAGGGGCAUUAGUUAAGCCAAAGGACAUGACUAUGAACUCAUAAUGCCCAUACCUGGUGCAGAAGGCAGUCUUCUCAAUAUCCUCCUCACGAAUCCUCAAUUGAUGAUAACCAGAGUUCAAAUCAAUUUUGGAGAACACCUGGGCACCCCUCAACUGCUCAAAGAGGACCUCAAUUCGGGGAAGCGGAUAUUUAUUCUUGAUUGUCACUUGAUUCAAAGCGCGAUAAUCCACACACAGCCGCUUGCUUUUAUCCUUCUUCUCAACAAACAAUACUGGGGAAGCCCAUGGAGACCUGCUAGGCCUAAUGAAGCCCUUAGCCAGCAGAUCAUCCAAUUGCCGCUUUAAUUCAAUCUGCUCCUUUGGAGCCAUUCGAUACGGGGCCUUAUGAAUAGGCUGCGUACCCGGAAUCAGUUUAAUCUCAAAAGCUGCAUCGCGCUCCGGAGGAAUGCCUGGAAGCUCUGCUGGAAACACGUCAGCAAAGUCACACACCACCCGGAUGUCCUGCACCCGCAAGGCAGCCUCGCCCUCCACCACCAUAGAGAAAAAGAUCCCCGACUUCCUUGACCAGCGAUCAGGAAGCAAUUGCGCCAACAAGGAUAAUGUGAACUUCGGAGAACUCCCCAAGAAUACCACCUCCUUACCCGACGGCGCCUGCAAUAACACUGUCUUCCAGAAGCAGGAUAUAACCGCGCGAUACAGGGAUAACCAAUCCAUACCCAAGAUAACAUCGAAUGCCCCCAAGGAAAUCACCACCAGAUUAGCCGAAAAAACCUCAUCAGCAAGAAUGACGGAACACCCCUGACAAACUGAACAGCUACUAAUGGAGCCAUUAGCAGAACUGACCAAAAUUGGGUGACCCAACCUCUGCACCGAAAGACCAGCCCGCGACACAAAAUCCUCCGAAACAAACGAAUAGCUAGCGCCAGAGUCAAAAAGAGCAUGGGCUGCAAAUGAAUCAACUGAAAUCGUACCUGUCACCACGUCUCCUUGCUCCCUGCCAUCCGUAGCGGGUAGCACAUAAGCUCCAGAAAUACCCGCAGAAGAGGAAGCUCCCGGAGUGAAAUUAACAGAAGAACCCCACUGAGCCACCGGAGGAGGCUGGCGCGGAGCUCCAAACUGAGACAACACAGGGGUAGACGGCGCAGGAGUAGGCACAACCUGAUACUGCGGAAAACCUUGCAUCGGCACGAACUGAGAAGUCCCGGGCACAUAAAGCUGCUGUGGAGGAAGAGGAACUGAAAACUGCUGCUCAGCACUUGACAUCAUAUUGAUAGUGCCCUGAGAAGAGGAGGAAGCUAUCGGCUCCCAUCUGAGCUUCCCAUUGGGAUUCCUCCUACACACCACAUCCUUGUGGUCCUGACUGCAGAUAGAACACCUGCCACUCCACUGACACUCUGCACGGCGAUGCGCAUCUCCACAGCGGAAACACACCAGCCCCAACCCGGGCUUAGGAACGGCCCGAAACCUCUGAGUACUUCCUCCUGAAGUACCUGAGUCAGAAGAUUUGCCACGGUAAGGAUGGUGGCGCUGAUGCUGAGACUUGCCCCUCUUGUGAGCUGGACCUCCAGUGUUGCCCCUCCUCGUGUCCUGGCUACGAGGUUGAUCAACACCCGAAGACUUCUGCGACUCCAUGGUGUACUGGUGUUGCAUCUCCACACCCAGCGCCUGCUCCACUGUGGUACGGAAGUCCACCAACGGAAAGGCUCCCAGAGCAUGCCUGAUAGAAGGCUUCAGACCCUGACGGAAUUGGCUCGCCUUCUCCAUCUCAUUAUAGGCCACAUGAGGGACAAAGCGGACCAUUUUGUUGAAGCCCACCUCAUACUCUGUGACAGACUUCUUCUCCUGCUUGUAGGACUGCAAGUCAAUCUUCAUUUUCUCCAGAAAGGUGACCGGGUAGAAUCUCCUUUCGAACUGCCUGAUGAAAACAUCCCAUGAUAGGACUCCUGGUGAGGAGGAGUGCGCUGCCUGCACGCCUCUCCACCAAAUCUGCGCCUCACCCUUCAGCAGCUGAGUGCCAAAGCGAACCCGAUCUUCAUAAGCAAUCUCGAAGACAUUCAUCUUAUCCUCCACAUAAGUCAGCCAAUCUGCCGCCUCGACCGGAGUACCACUGCCAUCAAAAGAAUCCAACUUCAUGCCCAUCCACUGCAUCAGAGAAAGACCACUGACAGGAAGAGGCACCCCGGCCCCGCCACCAGGAACAGCACCCGCAGGGACAGCGCCCCCGGGCACUUCUCCACCUCCAGCUCCCUGAGCAGCACCUGCAGGGGCGACAGGAAUGGCUUGCCUCAGAAGGGCCAACUCCUGCUGCAUGGCCUGCAUCGCGGCUAACAUUGCCGCCGGACUCAUCGAGUCCCCACUAGGAGCUUGCGGACUACCCCGAGCUCUACGAGGCGGCAUAGCUGUAUCCACAGGGAUGAGAAUAAUAAGUAUAUGAGAUAAGCAUAGCAUCUCUCUAGAUAAUGUCAAAACUAGCACAGAGAAUAACAUAAUCAUAUCAAUAGCAAGACCGAAAACCCAUCCUACAUGUGCAGUGUGUCAAUUUAUUACUACUCCACUUGCUAGGACCUACAGCCUAUGCUUUGAUACCAACUGUAACACCCCACUGAUCCCACACAAUGGAUGAUACCAAAAAAAACCUUUCUACAAGACUCAUGCAACACAUAGAGAAAGAAAGUACUGCAAAAACCGGCAGCACCUCCCUUGAAAGUAGCAUAACAAGGGAAGCAUAUAGUUUAUACAGGAUAUAAAAGAAAGAUAAUUGCCAUAGUAUAAUCAAAAUGCAACGGUAGAAAAGAACAUUCAUGACCAGACAAAAGAUAGACAUCUCAGCCCACCAAACUAAACAGUUCAACUACCAUGAAAGAUUAGAAUGUAGUAAUUCCCUAGACUUGACCCUUCCUGUUUAACAUCAUUAAUAAACAGUUAUUCCUUUAUUUAAAAGUGUGGUGGCCGUGCUGCUACAUCCCUUCUCUCCCAAAGCAAAGAUCAGGUGCCUGCAUCAGACAAUGCAAGAGUGAGAUGACACAUCUCAGCAAGUAAAAAGAACAAACAACAGUUGGACAAUGCAGGCCAACCGUGCAUAAGCAACCACAUGGUUCCCAACUUCUUCCUUAAAUAUUAAUUUGCAGCAAGUAAGCAAGUAAUCAAUUACUCAAUGCCAAGAUGAAUUACAAAGUAAAGAUCCACCUUAUCCACAUCACCAUAAUAGGUUCCACACUUCACCCAUGAAUGCACAUGGCUACAGAUGCAACAUGACUUCUGCCUUCAUACCUCUAAGGAUAUGAAGCUGCAUCAUACCCCUUCUCGGGAAACAUAUGAUGCUCAUUGUACCGGUACGGUCGGACCAUAAGAUCGCGACGAAAACUUCAAUGCAAUGGAUGAUGAAUGCAUUAUGCAUGUCAACAACAUGAGUUCUUCCCAAAUAAAAUGUGCUAGACAUAUACUUCCACCCAUUUCACAUCAAUAACCACAUGGGUAACAUGAUCAAACCACACCCUCCACAUGUAUAAUCAAUAAAGCAUGAAUAAUUUCAAACUAUGGUACCCAAUUAGGAAUAUGGAUACGAACACAAAUAGCACAAACAUAAUCAAGUAUGAGCCUCUUCAAUCAAAAGACGAAAUAACCAUCACUGUUUUACUUGCCUCUACCGAAGUUCGGGCAAAAUCCCUAAGAACGAUCCGGAAGUCCACCACCUGUUUUUGACACCCAACUUAGUGCACCAAAUUCUCAUGAAAAAAAAAACUCAAAGACAACACCGCACCUACGCGCAAUUUCAAACCCCGCCGCGGUAACAAUUCUCCCCUCACUAACCAAACUGCAGCGGCGCUGCUUAACAAUUCCAUAACAUAAAAUUUAGGACAGCAGUGAUGAUAAACAAAAACUUCAGAGACAACUACAUAAAAUUCCCCACAAGUUUUGUAUACAACCCAUGAUUGAAUUCUAACAUCUACUUACCUCUAAACGGUCCUCAAAAUAAACCCUGCAAUCUGUUUUUUUUUAUUUGAGCAGCGACAUACGCGGAUUCAAACAGCGAUAACUUUUAAAAUAUAAUUCCGAUUUGAGCGCAUAAGUACUUGUUGGAAAGAUAAGAAAAAGCCCUACAUGAUUCUCAUACUGAUUAACACUAAUUACUCCCAAAACAUCCCCAGAAACUGCUAACACUGCUGCUGUUCAUCACUCUGAAAAAUCUGUUUUCUGGACAGCCACAUACCCGGAUUCAAACGAUGAUAACUUUUAAUUUAUAACUCCAAAUUGAGCGCAUAAAUACUCGUUGGAAAGAUAAAACAAAGUGCUACAAGAUUCUCAUACUGAUUAACACUAAUUGCUCCCGAAAAAUCCCCAGAAACUGCUAACACUGCUGCUGUUCAUCACUCUGAAAAAAUCUGUUUUCUGGACAGCCACAUACCCGGAUUCAAACGAUGAUAACUUUUAAUUUAUAACCCCAAAUUGAGCGCAUUAAAUCUUCACGAAAAAAAACUAAAAACUGCUGGAACUACCGCUGUUCAUCCACCACGCAAAAUUCUGGACAGCCCCCCCAUCUAAUCGCAAACGCAACAUCUAAUCAAUUGAAUCGCAGCGCAAAUGAACAAGGGAUGAACACAAAAGAAAAAUCACCUUGGGUUCUCCCCUUUUCCUUCCUCCCUUCUUCCUUCCACCAAAACGAUUGGAGAUUCGCACCAAAAGACGAUGAUCCGAGCGGCACGGAGUAGCACCUAGGGAGGAGGGGAUUGGGGGGGGGCGGCUAGGGUUUUGGUGGCUGCAACAAUGGAGGGAGGAGGAGGUGGGCAGGGGGGGGGGCGGCGGCCAAGGGGAAAGGAGAAGUGGGGGGGGGGCGGCUGCACAUGGGGAGGGGUAGUUAGGAGGGUGGCGGCUAGGGUUUGGGAGGCUAAUGGGCCAAAACACCAAUUGCGGCCCAACUAACCCACGCGACGGCUCCCGACUGCAACGCAAACGUCAAACCAAAUAAAUUCUACUGCCCUAGUUGCGAAUGUUGUUCACAAAAAUUCCAAAUCCCCAAAACAACAACUGGAUGAGGGGAAAAAAACAAAAAGAACAGCCCCCAACUUCUCUUCUUUGCAAACCGGGUAUCACAGAGCGAGAGGACGGUCAAGGACAGACUCGACUUUUUUACAUACGGCCCUGUGUCGCUUUUCCGCAAGGAGGAGGGGGAGAAGCGCCAUGUUGCCCUUGGAGGGCGCCGAACAUGGUGUCUCCAGUGAGCUGCUGACGGGUAAUCCGAGUGGACGCCCGUGCCCCAUUUGUUAGGGGUCGGCUAGAGGCCCGGAGGCGCGCUCCAAAAGUACCUGCGGGUGAUCUGUCGGACCCGGUCCCCUUUUGACGAGGUCCGAGGGCUCGAUGCCUCCCUCUGAUGGGAUUCCGUUACAAGAUCGUUCCUGCUGGUCUCGGAAAUGUCCUAGGGUACCUCGGGAGCAUAGCCCGAGCCUUGGUUAUGUAUCGAACGUACCCAGGGUCAUCCCUCGCUCUGCGUCUGAGGCGGCUGUGAACCCUUCGAGGGCCAGCCUACGAACCCCUGAUCAGUAGUGGGCGCGGAGCCCGAGUGGCCUGAGGCGGCCGUUGAACCCUUCCGAGGGGCCGGCCUUCGAACCUCUGACCAGUAGUGGGCGCGGAGCCCGAGCGCUCUGAGGCGGCUGUUGAACCCCUCUGAGGGGCCAGCCUUCGAACCUCUGAUCAGUAGGGGGGCUCGGGGCCCGUUUCCUUCGCGGGGAAGGAUCCCUUUCGGGGUAUCCCCUUUCCCGGUCCCUGUUGUAAGAGAGAGAAAGAGGAAAAGGAAAAGGACACGAAAUCGAAAUGACGUGGCGCACCUUUUUUGACGCGGUCAUCAUGGCGAAGGCGAAGCGUCGCCCACUUCUCCUGCCAAAGGUGUCGCCUGUCCUGCCGCAGAGUUAAUGCGACGGGGCGAGUGGUUCACGGGGCAGCCAUUGCGCGCGUGUGAGCCGCUCGAGGAACGGAACACGGGCGCGCCGUCUUCACGCCGCGAGAGAGGGUUCCCUUGCUGUCCCUGGAUGGGACGUGAGCUUGGCUGACGACGUGACCGCUGCUUCCGCCCGCCUGCCACCGCCAUUACUGCCGGCCCAUUUUUGGCCGCAUCGACCGUCGCGCCUUCCCCGCGGCUGACUGGCCCGUGACCGAUGCGCCUGGCUGGCACUGUUUGGUCAUACGCAGGGUUGCCUCGAGCCGCGGUACUGGUUCCGCAGUCGAGGAGGCGCGGUAGGGGCGCGAGGGGCGGUGCAGUUGCUCGCACGUAGCAACCGGCGCGCCGGUUGCAUGACGUGUGGGCCUGGGCCUCCAUGCUGGGCGCGUUGGAGUCGAAGGGGUGCGCCCACUUGGCGCGGUUGCAUGCCGCCUGCAUGGCUGUCCGCCCUUUCACCCGCUGGUCUGGGCGAAAGUGGAGGAAUGCUUGUAACCGCUGGGCAGUUGCGCGCACCGCGCGCGGCGGUUUGGCUUCUUCUGCCCUGGGCCAGCUUGCAUGACGUGUGGAACCCAGUCCCCGUGUCGUAGGGGGAGGACCUUGGAGCGUGUUGGAGAAGACUCAGCCCGCGAUGGCUGAGGACGCAAGUGGGGAGAGUCGCAUUUAAAAGGAGGGUGACCCCCUUGAAAGGCGACCAUGUCUUCGCGCUCCCUUAUGCAUCGCGUCUUUCCACCUUCUGAGCCCCCGGAUGGGGAACACUCGCAAUCCUUCCGCCUUGUCGUUGGAGGAACGCAACUUCGUGGAAGUUGGUACCUUUCAGGCAUCGUUCGGCUUCAAGGAUUUUCAUUAGGCAGCCCGGCCGCAUCCCCUCGCCGGUGGUCACCCAAGACGAUGACCACCAGCUCCUGGGUGGGGAGAAGCAAGCCGGGCUGUGAUCUUGGUCCCGCCCUCAGCUUCAAGGAUCUUCAACAUCCUUGCUGGGGCGGAGGCCGGGCUGAGCCGGUGCUCUACCUCCCGCGCAGGUUCGUGGGUCAGCCUCUCCCUCAGCAUUCAAGGGAGAGGGCGCUCACCGGCCUAGCGGGAGGGUCGGACUCCGAUAACGCGGGGCCGAUCGGCGGUGAGCGUCGUCAGCUUCAGCGCGUUGGGCUCGCUGGCUCAGCUGGCUCUGGCUCGGCUCCUGGUGCCCCCUCUCACAGCGAGGGCGGUUGUCGCGCCGCGCGCACCGGAGGACCGCCCAAGACGUCGCGCGCCGCUAGGGCGGCGUUCGUGUUCUGGGGCUGUCCUGCCUUUGCCCCGGUACGGCGCCUCUGCGUGGAGGUCGGUGCUCUGCUCGUCCGGGAGGAUCCGAGUGGGGAUCUGCCGGUGGGCAGACGGCUCCUGUCGUUGGUGCUGAGGUGGCGGCGGCUGGAGAAGUCCUCGUCGCCGACGGGAUCACCGCCACCAUCUGCGCUCCGGGCCUCCGGCUCUUUGUACUUGUCCUCGCCCCUCGAGCGUAGACGUGGGCGAGGGCAUUGUUGCAGGGGCGCCCGCCCCGAGGCCAUUGCUGCUGCAAUUCCGCCACCCGGAGCGGGGGUCGUUGUCGCUGCUGCUAGAGCGGGUGACGGUGGGCGACCUGGAGCUUUGUCGCCUCGCGGGCCCCCCCAAUGUGGGGGGUUGUUCGUACCCGCGGAGGUGGAACCGGAGUUCCGUUUGUAAUGGCACCUUGAGUGCCGGUGUCUGUUCAUUGUGGCUGUCGAAGCCUGAACAUGUAUGUAUCUUUGGCGUGGAGCCGUGUUUUUUCCUUAUUUCGAGCACUAAGACUCGCCUGUCGGCUAUCUGAACCGCUUCACCAAGCGUGAGUCGCCUCGUGCGAAGGUGACGAGUGAGGUAUCCGUAUCCCGGAGGCGUAGGAGUCCCUCGGCUCCGUCGGCCUUGCUGUCCGAGGCUUCUCUUGCUUAGUUAAAGGAACCCUCGGCCGCUCUUCGAUGAGCCGAAGCCGGAGGUAGCGGUGUCAGCACGGACAGAGGCGGAGUUGGCUCGAAAAGAAGAUUUGGUCGGCCGGAGCCUGGUCGGGUCGUCCACUAGCGGGACCGACGCCGGAGUUGAGUUGCCGAAGCCACGAGCCGGGCUGAUGUCCUCGGGGGACGGCUGGCUGAGGCUUUGGGGUGGCCGGCCGAGCCGUUUGCUCGAGCCGGAUUCCUGGAGAAGACCCUAGCGGCGAUGGCCCGGGCAUGGUGCUGAUAUAGUCCUUCGGAGUGGAGAUCCUCCGACCGCGUCGCCGUCCGAGGCUAGGCCGGACCUCGCCAAAGGUGUAGAUGACGCCGAGGGUGCUGCUGCUCCCUUCAAAUGUCAAGAUUCGAGCCUGCAGGAUCAGGUUAUCUUGUAGUGUGUGUAUGUUUUCUGCGGCUGCCGAGGCCCAAACAUACUGUCAUCGUGGUGUAAAGCUGCGUUUCUUUUCCUCUUGUUUCGAGUGUCUGGACUUGCUUGUCGGUAACAGAAUCACUUGUCCGAGCGAGAGUUACUUUUCACGGAAGGCGAUGAGUGAGGUAUCCGUAUCCCGGAGGCGUAGGAAUCCCUCGGCUCGGUCGGCCUUGCCGCUUACGUGUACUCUUACCCGUCCGUAGGAUUCUGCUAUCGAUGUGGUCGAGAAGGCCCGAAAAAUCGUUUCGGCAGAAGAGGUUUCGAGCGUGAAAACUUGUUCGGUCCGUAGAAUCACUUAUCCGAGCGUGAGUUACUUAUCGCAGAAGGUGAUGAGCGAGGUAUCCUUAUCCCGGAGGCGUAGGAGUCCCUCGGCUCGGUCAGCCUUGGCUGCUUACGUGUACUCCGUUGUUUUCAUGAUCCACUUUCGAAGUAGUCGAAAAGCACGAAAGACAUUCUAGCAGAAAAGAUCUUUUUCCGAGGAAAAUUUUGACGCAGAGGGGGUUCCCCCCUUUUAGCCCCCGAGGGAGGGUCGGGCUUUGCCGAGGCAAGGCUGACCCUUCAUUGAUGACUAAACUUUGUGUGUGAGCGAGGUGUAUGAACGACUUGAAAGCAUCUUAAGGGUAGAAGCGACAUAGCUGUCGGAUGUUCCAAGCGUUGAUGUAGACCUCGCCUUGACUGUUGGCCAGCUUGUAUGUCCCGGGCUUCAGAACUUUGGCAAUGACGAACGGCCCUUCCCAGGGAGGCGUGAGCUUGUGCCGCCCUCGGGCGUCUUGUCGCAGCCGAAGCACCAGAUCGCCCACUUGGAGGUCUCGGGACCGAACCCCUCGGGCGUGGUAGCGUCAUAGGAACUGCUGGUACCGCGCCGAGUGUAGUAAGGCCAUGUCCCGAGCCUCUUCCAGCUGGUCCAGUGAGUCUUCUCGGUUAGCUCGAUUGCUUUGGCCGUCGUAGGCGCUCGCCCUCGGGGAACCGUAUUCUAAGUCUGUGGGCAAGAUGGCCUCGGCCCCAUAGACUAGAAAGAACGGUGUGAAGCCCGUGGCUUGGCUCGGCGUUGUCCUCAGACUCCAGACCACCGAGGGGAGCUCCUUCAUCCAUCGUUUGCCGAACUUGUUGAGGUUGUUGUAGAUCCGCGGCUUGAGCCCUUGCAGGAUCAUGCCGUUGGCACGCUCUACUUGCCCAUUCGUCAUGGGGUGAGCCACGGCGGCCCAGUCCACCCGGAUAUGGUAAUCCUCGCAGAAGUCCAGGAACUUUCGGCCGGUGAACUAGGUGCCGUUGUCGGUGAUGAUGGAGUUCGGGACCCCAAAGCGAUGGAUGAUUUUGGUGAAGAACGCCACCGCCUGUUCGGACCUGAUGCUGUUUAGGGGUCGGACCUCGAUCCACUUGGAGAAUUUGUCGAUGGCGACCAAUAGGUGUGUGUAGCCCCCGGGUGCCUUCUACAAGGGGUCGACGAGGUCCAGACCCCACACAGCAAACGGCCAGGUGAUGGGUAUGGUCUGCAGAGCCUGAGCGGGCAGGUGGGUCUGCCUUGCAUAGAAUUGACACCCUUGGCAGGUGCGGACAAUUCUAGUGGUGUCGGCCACCGCGGUCGGCCAGUAGAAGCCUUGCCGGAAGGCGUUUCCAACAAGGGCUCGAGGUGCUGCGUGAUGGCCGCAAGCCCCCGAGUGUAUCUCUUGUAAGAGCUCCUGGCCUUCGGCAAUGGAAAUGCAUCGCUGGAGGAUGUCUGAGGGGCUGCGGUGGUAGAGCUCCUUCCCGUCUCCUAGCAAGACGAACGACUUGGCGCGCCGCGCCAACCGCCGAGCUUCGGCUCGGUCGAGGGGUAGCUCUCCUCGGUGGAGAUAUUGCAGGUACGGGGUCUGCCAGUUUUGAUUAGGCGUGGCCCCGCUCCGCUCCUCCUCGACGCGCAGUGCCUCACCCUCGAGGGCCGAGGGUACCUUGGGCCGAGCCGAGGGUGCCUCGGGCCGAGCCGAGGGUGCCUCGGGCUGGGCCGAGGCCUUCUCGGGCUCGGGUGUGUCGUCGGUCUUGACGGAGGGUUGAUGCAGGUCUCGGGAGAAGACGUCUGGGGGAACCGUUGUUCGCCCCGAAGCUAUCUUAGCUAGCUCGUCCGCAGUCUCGUUGUAGCGUCGGGCGAUGUGGUUGAGCUCGAGCCCGUAGAACUUGUCUUCCAGGCGCCGAACCUCAUCGCAGUAGGCCUCCAUCUUCGGGUCGCGGCAGUGGGAGUUCUUCAUGACUUGGUCGAUGACGAGCUGCGAGUCACCGCGAGCGUCGAGACGUCGGACCCCUAGCUCGAUGGCGAUGCGCAACCCUUUGACCAGAGCCUCGUACUCAGCCACAUUGUUGGACGCCGGGAAGUGGAGGCGUAGCACGUAGCGUAGGUGCUUCCCGAGGGGCGAGAUGAAGAGCAGGCCUACGCCUGCCCCUGUCUUCAUCAGCGACCCGACGAAAAACAUGGUCCAGAGUUCCAGUUGGAUCGGAGCUGUUGGGAGCUGGGUGUCGACCCAUUCAGCCACAAAGUCCGCCAAGACCUGGGACUUGAUGGCCUUCCGAGGGGCGAACGAGAUCGUUUCGCCCAUGAUUUCCACCGCCCACUUUGCAAUUCUACCCGAGGCCUCUCAGCACUAGAUGAUCUCCCCCAGGGGGAAGGAUGACACCACAGUUACCGGAUGAGACUCGAAGUAGUGUCGCAACUUUCGCCGCGUCAGGAUCACCGCGUACAGCAGCUUCUGAAUUUGUGGGUAGCGGAUCUUGGUCUCAGACAGUACCUCACUGAUGAAGUAGACUGGCCUCUGGACGGGCAAUGCAUGCCCUUCUUCUCGUCUUUCAACCACAAUCGUGGCGCUAACCACCUGAGUGGUAGCGGCGACGUAGAUCGAGAGGGCUUCUCCGGCAGCGGGGGGCACCAAGAUGGGCGCGUUCGUGAGGAGCGCCUUCAGGUUCCCUAGGGCUUCCUCGGCCUCAGGAGUCCAAGUGAAGCACUCGGCCUUCCUUAAGAGGCGGUACAGAGGCAGGCCUCUUUCGCCGAGGCGCGAGAUGAAACGACUCAGAGCCGCAAGGCAUCCCGUGACCCUCUAUACGCCUUUCAAGUCCUUGAUGGGCCCCAUGCUGGUGAUGGCCGCGAUCUUCUCCGGGUUGGCCUCGAUGCCCCGCUCGGAGACGAUGAACCCCAAGAGCAUGCCUCGGGGGACCCCGAAGACACACUUCUCAGGAUUGAGUUUUACGCCUUUCGCCUUGAGACACCGGAAUGUCGUUUCAAGGUCGGAAAGGAGGUCGGAGGCUUUCCUCGUCUUGACUACGAUGUCAUCGACGUAGGCCUCGACCGUUCGGCCAAUGUGUUCGCUGAACACGUGGUUCAUGCACCGUUGGUACGUUGCACCCGCAUUCCUCAAACCAAAUGGCAUGGUGACAUAGCAGUACAUGCCGAAAGGUGUGAUGAAAGAAGUCGCGAGCUGGUCGGACUCUUUCAUCCUGAUUUGGUGAUACCCAGAGUAGGCAUCGAGGAAAGACAGGGUUUCGCACCCAGCAGUGGAAUCCAUGAUUUGAUCGAUGCGAGGCAGAGGGUAGGGAACCUUUGGACAUGCUUUGUUUAGACCAGUGUAGUUUACACACAUCCGCCAUUUCCCUCCUUUCUUUCUCACAAGCACAGGGUUAGCAAGCCAUUCGGGAUGGAAUACCUCUUUGAUGAACCCUGCCGCCAUUAGCUUGUGGACCUCCUCGCCUAUGGCUCUGCGCUUUUCUUCGUCGAAUCGGCACAGAGGCUGCUUCACGGGUCGGGCCCCAGCUCGGAUAUCCAGCGAGUGCUCGGCGACAUCCCUCGGGUAUGCCGGGCAUGUCCGAGGGACUCCACACGAAAACGUCGGCGUUUGCGCGGAGAAAGUCGACGAGCACUGCUUCCUAUUUGGGGUCGAGCUCGGAGCCGAUCCGGAUCUGCUUGGAGGUGUCGCUGCUUGGGUCGAGAGGGAUGGAUUUAACCGUCUUCGCUGGCUCGAAGUUGCCGGCGUGGCGCUUCACGUCUGGCGCCUCCUUAGAGAGGCUCUCCAGGUCGGCGAUGAGGGCCUCGGAUUCGGUGAGGGCCUCUGCGUACUCCACGCACUCCACGUCGCAUUCGUACGCGUGUCGGUACGUGGGGCCGACGGUGAUGACCCCGUUGGGGCCCGACAUCUUGAGCUUGAGGUAGGUGUAGUUGGGGACGGCCAUGAACUUGGCGUAGCAUGGCAUCCCCAGCACUGCGUGGUAGGUUCCUCGAAACCCGACCACUUCGAACGUGAGGGUCUCCCUUCGGAAGUUGGAGGGCGUCCCAAAGCAGACGGGUAGAUCGAGUUGUCCGAGGGGCUGGACGCGUUUCCCGGGGAUGAUCCCGUGAAAAGGCGCAGCGCCUGCCCGGACCGAGGACAGAUCGAUCCGCAGGAGCCCGAGGGUCUCGGCGUAGAUGAUGUUGAGGCUGCUGCCUCCGUCCAUGAGGACCUUGGUGAGCCUGACGUUGCCGAUGACGGGGUCGACAAUGAGCGGGUAUUUCCCCGGGCUCGGCACGCGGUCGGGGUGGUCGUCUUGAUUGAAGGUGAUGGGCUUGUCGGACCAGUCUAGGUAGACUGGCACCACCACCUUUACCGAGCAGACCUCCCGACGCUCUUGCUUGCGGUGACGAGCCGAGGCGUUUGCCACUUGCCCACCGUAGAUCAUGAAGCAGUCGUGGACCUCGGGGAACUCUCCUACCUUGUGAUCCUCCUUCUUAUCGUCGUCGCGGGCCCUGCCAGCCUCCGCAGGUGGCCCGGCCUUGUGAAAGUGGCGCCGGAGCAUGGCGCACUCCUCAAGGGUGUGCUUAACGGGCCCCUGAUGAUAGGGGCACAGCUCCUUGAGCAUCUUGUCGAAGAGAUUGGCACCUCCGGGAGGUUUCCGAGGGUUCUUAUACUCGACGCCGGCGACAAGGUCCGCGUCGGCGGUGUCGCGUUUCGCUUGCGACUUCUUCUUGCCUUUCUUCCUGGUGCCGCGCUAAGUGGACGCCUCGGGGACAUCCUUCGGCUGGUGGCCCUGGGGCUGCUUGUCCUUCCGGAAGAUGGCCUCAACCGCCUCCUGGCUAGAGGCGAACUUGGUGGCGAUGUCCAUCAGCUCGCUCGCCCUGGUGGGGGUCUUGCGACCCAGCUUGCUCACCAGGUCACGGCAGGUGGUGUCGGCGAGGAACGCGCCGAUGACAUCCGAGUCGGUGACAUUGGGCAGCUCGAUGCGCUGCUUCGAGAAUCGUCGGAUGUAGUCCCGGAGAGACUCUCCUGGCUGCUGGCGGUAGCUUCGGAGAUCCCAGGAGUUUCCAGGGCGCACGUACAUGCCCUGGAAGUUGCCGGCGAAGGCUUGGACCAGGUCGUCCCAGUUGGAGAUCUGCCCCGGAGGCAGGUGCUCCAGCCAGGCUCGAGCGGUAUCGGAGAGGAACAGGGGGAGGUUGCGAAUGAUGAGGUUGUCAUCGUCCGUUCCACCUAGGUGGCAGGCCAGCCGAUAGUCCGCGAGCCACAGUUCCGGUCUCGUCUCCCCCGAGUACUUUGUGAUAGUAGUCGGGGUUCAGAACCGGGUCGGGAACGGCGCCCGUCAUAUGGCGCGGCUAAAGGCCUGCAGACCGGGUGGUUCGGGCGAGGGACUCCGAUCCUCCCCGCUGUCGUAGCGUCCCCCAUGUCUGGGGUGGUAGCCUCGGCGCACCCUCUCGUCGAGGUGGGUUCGACGGUUGCGGUGAGGGUGUUCGUUGCCGAGGCGACCCGGAGCCGCAGGCGCUAUGUUGCGCGUGCGCCCGGUGUGGAUCGAGGCUUCCCGCAUGAAUCGGGAAGUCGCGACGCGAUGUUCCGAGGGGUACCCCUGCCUUCGGGAGGCGGAGCUUUCGGCCCGUCGGACCGCGGCAUCCUCCAGGAGAUUCUUGAGCUCUCCCUGGAUACGCCGCCCCUCGGUGGUAGACGGCUCCGGCAUCGCGCGGAGAAGUAUCGCCGCUGCUGCCAGGUUCUGGCCGACCCCACUGGAAACCGGUGGCGGCCUUACCCUGACAUCGUCGGCGAUGCGGUGCUGGAUGCCCUGGGGUAGAUGACGCACUUCUCCGGCCGGAGGUUGGCCCGCCCAUUCCUGCCCAAUGUCCCGGCAGAAUGGCUCAAGUGUUCCUGCUCCCUCGUCGAGCCUGGCCUGCAUCUCUCGGAUUUGCUCGAGCUAUGGGUCAUGACCCCCCGCCGGGACGGGGACCACAGCUAGCUCCCGAAGGAUGUCAACGCAAGGCAUAGGCCUAGGGGAUCACCGUUCUCCGGCAUACCAAGAUGGUUACCUUCGUCGGGACCCCCUAGAUCGACGUGGAAACAUUCACGACUUGGGCCGCAGUCCUUGUCGCCGAGGCUGCGGCUACCGUUGGAACAGUCGGAAAGGCAGUAGUUGCAUGCGGUCAUAAAGUCCCGCAUGGCACUGGGGUUACCAAGCCCGGAGAAAUCCCAACUAAAGUCGGGCUCGUCAUCUUCCUUGGAGCCCGAGGGCCCGUAGGUCGAGACGACCGUCAGCCGGUCCCAGGGUGAUCGCAUACGAUACCCCAGAGGGUUUGGACUCGCCUCUAUGAGAGCGUCCACCAAAGCGAAGUCGCUUGGUGGGUCGAGGCUGAAUCCAAAAGGCACGAGAUGGGAAUCGGUCGGUACCUCUUGGUCGACGGGCGGUGACAAAGUCACGUCAGGGGCAGACUGCAUCGUCGUCUCAGGUACGAGGGUGACGCCCAGCAAGUCCUUUGCGAGCGUGCUGGCGUCGUCCGUUUGCUUGGGGUUGGCGUGUUGCGGGGAGACGACGCUCGUCUUCGUCUCAGACGUGAGGUCGAUGCCCGACGUGCCCCUCGUUGGGGCGCCGGCGCCGUCGACUCGCUCGACAGCCGACGAGGUGUCGCCUCCUGCUUGGCCUUGGUUGCCCCGCCUUCUCCUCCGUCGGCGGGGGAGGGGAUGGGACAAGCCCGAAUGUUGUUCUUCCACCACGUGGGGAAGGCGUUGUCGAUUCCGCCGUAGGCGGGCAGGUUGUCGGCCGCCAUUGUCACCGUCGCGCGGCGGGGGAAGGAGUAUCAUGUCGUAGCUGCCAUCGAGGGACAUGAACUCAAGACUCCCAAAACGGAGCACCGUCCCGGGCUGGAAAGGUCGCUGGAGACUGCCCAUCUAGAGCUUGACGGGAAGCUGUUCGUCAACGCGCAGCAGGCCCCUACCUGGCGCGCCAACUGUCGGCGUUUCGAACCCGGGGGGUCCCUGGACCGACGAGUAAAUUGUCGCCGCGUGCCCCAGCCCAGAUGGGUCGGCGCGAGACGGAGCGCGAAGGGGGGAUGAAGCCGGAGGGAGACAGGCGUAAAAGGGGAAACCCGCGGCCUUCGUGUUUGUCCCGCGCCCAGGUCGGGUGCGCUUGCAGUAGGGGGUUACAAGCGUCCACGCGGGAGGGAGCGAGCGGCUUACGCGAGCGCCGUCCAUUCCUUCCCCGCGCGGCCAACCCUCUGUAAGAGGGCCCUGGACCUUCCUUUUAUAGGCGUAAGGAGAGGAUCCAAGUGUACAAUGGGGGGUGUAGCAGUGUGCUAACGUGUCUAGCGGAGGGGAGCUAGUGCCCUAAGUACAUGCCAUCGUGGCAGCCGGAGAGGUUUUGGCACCCGGUUUGUGUGGUGUCGUGGCCGUCGGAGGAGUGCUGGAGCCUGGCGGAAGGACAUCUGUCGGGGCUGUCGAGUCCGUGCUGACGCCUCCUUGCUUCCGUAAGAGGGCUGAGAGCCGUCGUCGUCAUGGAGCAUGCGGGGCACCAUCAUUAGUUGUUUACCGGGGCGAGCCAGAUGGGAUGUCGGUCUUGUUCCCCGUAGCCAGAGCUAGCUAGGGGUAGGGUAAUGAUGGCCCCGCCUGUGACGUGGUCGGUCCGAGCCCUGGGUUGGGCGAGGCGGAGGCUCCUCCGAGGUCGAGUCUAUCUUCCAAGGCCGAGGUCGAGUCCGAGCCCCUGGGUCGGGCGAGGCGGAGACCGUCGGCUGAGGCCAGGGCUGAGUCCGAGCCCUGGGGUCGGGCGAAGCAGAGUUCGUCGUCUUCCGGGGCUGAGCCCGAGUCCGAGCCCUGGGGUCGGGCGAUGUGGAGUUCGUCGUCUUCUGGGGCUGAGCCCGAGUCCGAGCCCUGGGGUCGGGCAAAGCGGAGUUCGUCGUCUUCCGGGGCUGAGCCCGAGUCCGAGCCCUGGGGUCGGGCGAAGCGGAGUUCGUCGUCUUCCGGGGCUGAGCCCGAGUCCGAGCCCUGGGGUCGGGCGAUGCGGAGUUUCCUAUGGCGCCUGAUGCCGGACUUGGCUGCUGUCAGCUUCACUCUAUCGAGUGGCACAACAGUCGGAGCGGCGCAGACGACGCUGUCCUCUUAUCAGGCCGGUCAGUGGAGCGGCGAAGUGACUGCGGUCACUUCGGCUCUGUUGACUGAAGAGCGCGCGUCAGGAUAAAGGUGUCAGGCCAACUUUGCAUUAAAUGCUCCUGCGAUUCAGUCGGUCGGCGCGGCGAUCGGGCCAAGGUUGCUUCUUGGCGAAGACUGGGCCUCGGGCGAGCCGAAGGGGUGUCCGUUGCUUGAGGGGGCCCUUGGGCGAGAAGUGAAUCCUCCGUGGUCGGCUGCCCUUGCCCGAGGCUGGGCUCGGGCGAGGCGAGAUCGCGUCCCUUGAGUGGACCGAGCCUUGACUUAAUCGCACCCAUCAGGCCUUUGCAGCUUUGUGCUGAUGGGGGUUACCAGCUGAGAUUAGGAGUCUUGGGGGUACCCCUAAUUAUGGUCCCCGACAUGUGUGAAUCAACUUGAGUUAGAUAAUUAAUAUGAGACCGGGUGGGUGGCUUGCAUCGUGAAAUGAGUCGGUGUAGUGCUCCGCCUGUGUCGAUUAAGGAUCGUUCGAUGUAGGCCUGAUGAGGUGAGACUUUGCAACUAGCCACAUGCUCCGGUAAGCCUGAACCCGGCUAUUCCAUACGUGAAAAGACAACCGCGCACUGGGCGUGGAAGAUGGUGGGAGUAGCGUGUACCCUCCUGGCUAGAGGCUGGACGGAGGAGUACUGUGCUCCCGGGUAGCGUGGACCGGUUCACGUUGUGGAGGAUCUGUGGGAAUGGUUGACAUAUGCAAGGGUUAAGUGCUACAUAUGUCGUGUGGUUAGGAAUCCCCAGCUGGGUAUAAUCGGUUCGAAUCGUCGUUGCUCCUCGGUUAUGGAGACUCGACUCACUGACCACUCAUCGUAGUUAAUAAGUGAAACAUGAAUUGGCUAAAAGAAAGCUAGAUAGGACAAGUGAAUGCUCUAGAUUAGGAAAAUCUAGAAUCAGGUAAGAACUUAAAUUGAUAAUUAAAAGAUGGCUUAAGGAUCCACUAUUAGUAAGCGUUUCUGCAAAAUGAGUCCUUGAUUAUUGCUUAGCUUUACCUUGAUUCCUAAUCAGCCAGCAUAUCCUUGAGAGUCUUUUUCCUUAGUCGGGUAAGACUUGCGAAAGUACACUUCGUACUCAGGGUUUUCGAACCCAUGUUGUUGCAGGUACUAGAUUUGUGCUGCUAUUGAUGGUGCUAAGUGCCGGUGGGCUCGGCCUCCCUAUAUAAGUAUAUCCCAUCUUUAUCUUCUUUUUGAGGAUUGUCACUUAUGCUAGCAUCACUACACGACGGUUCACUUACAGCGACCUACGGUUGGUUGCUAAAACGGCCUUCAGCGACCUACGGUUGGUCGCUAAAAACUUUUAGCGACCCAUAAGGAUGGUCGCUGUAAGUGCCGUCGCUAAAGGCUUUAGCGACCGACCAUCCGUUGCUAAUAUUGUAUAUUUAGCGACCAACCGUGGGUUGUUGUACUAUAGAUUUAGCAACCAACUGUAAGUCGUCAUACUAUACAUUUAGCAACCAACAGAAAGUCGCCCUUUUUACAGUUGUUAUUAAUAAUAAUAUACAUUUAAUUAAGCACCACAAAUCACAUAUUUUUAUACACAAAUCAUAAAGACACACACAGUUAAUCAGUAUACCACAGUCAUAGAUCCAUCACAUAAACACAAAAGCACCACAAUUAUAUAUUCACAAAAGCAUCACAAUUAUAUAUUCACAAAAUCAGGUUUUCCUCAGCUACUUCUUCAGUCAUUUCUAGAUGCUUUGAGGCACACCGUAGGUAGACAGCAUUUGCAGGUGAAAGCUCUAUUUUCACACCAUAGCAGAACCUUGCAACUAGCUCAAAUGACUUGGCACCCCCAGGAAUGUCAUUUAGUUUGAUGAUGCAUUCUUCUUGGUCAGAAUUUUCUUCAAUUGACCGUUCAAGAAAGGCACUUUUUGAAAGUAAAGGGAACUGCAAUGAAACAGACACUGUUAUGGAGGAAAUAAUCAACAUGUAAAAAGGUUAAUUAAAGGCAUACAAGGCAAGAAAGUGAAGCAAAAGCAUUGGAACAGAAAUAAAAGGUUAUAACCAUUUUCAUAUUCUUUCAUAAAUGCCAGUAGAAGAAGCUUUACACAGGAAACACCAAGUCAAACAAAGUAUGAUGAAAGUUUCAUUCAAAGCAAGGAACUGUUUAUUGUUGCAACAGGAUAUGGACAGAGAACAUUUGCUAGACGUGAACAAGCAGCAAAAGGGAUAUAACCAUUUUUGCUUUAUUUCUUGCACACACCAGGAAAAUACAGGAAUCCAGAAUAUGACAAGAGAUUCAUUCAAACCAAGGAACUGUUUAUUUGUUCUAAUAGGAACUGAAUGGAUAACUUUUGCAUGUUACAUAAAGUUUAUUCGUCUCUCAUGCACUUUGAACAGUUUUCCAGUAUCUUGACAGUUUUUCGUAGCUACUGACUUAAACAAAUAAAACUCUAAAGAGUUUCAAUUGUAGGACUCAUUAACAGUAAAUGCAUACUUAAUGGCUUAUAGACAUCCACAGAAAAAAAGGACAGUACCUUGUGAAGGUGGAAAGACAUAUCCCCAACCUCAACGGUGACAUUGCUUGGAAGUCCUGUUGUGCAGAACCUAAAAGGUUCACAAGCAGAAAAACAAUCGAAAUUCAGAUAAAUUUGUAUAUUCAGUAAGAACUGGAAAAUGAGACUCCUUAUGGUAAAAAACAAUGAUGGGUGGCCACCUAGUGGUUAAUGUCAAUUUCAAAUUAUUUGUACAACAUAUUCCUGCAUAUAAACAAUUCGAGCGAUGUCUUAUAUAUUGCAGAGUCAGGUGUAGAUAUAUAUAUAGAGAGGUUUUGCAAUAUAUUUCUCACAAAAACACACAAUAUAUACCAAACAGACGUUAAGAUAAAAGCACAUGUUUUUGUUGUAUACUACGAGCACAAAAUCACGAUGAUCCCUCUAAGUACAGGCACAUCACUUCCCAAACUAAUAGGUUUAGAGCACACAUUAAGAAAGAAAAAACUCAACCAUAUGCAACAAGACAUUUGGAGAAACAUUUCAAAUGCCACAAGUCUUCAUCACUCAAGAAUCAAAAACUAAUUAUUCCUACUUAGCUAAACAAGAACAAAAUCAAGUGCUUAAUUGCAGAUUUUCUGGACAGCACACAGUAGUCAAUUGUUUUGUUCACAACUCACAAAAUAUUCAUCCAAAAAUAGUGAACUAAGACUUUAUGGAAAGCCUAAGAAAUCCUAUACAACUUUGGUAUUAUCAUCACCAUGAGAUUAGACACUUAAAAAGGUCAAUCAGUAUUAAAUGAUAAUGUUGUCCAGAUUUGGACGGAAUUCAACUACUCACUUCAAAACUCCAUAACUGGAGAUUUAGGCAUCCAAAACAGGUGAUCCAAGAAUUUCUAGAAAGCUUAUAAAAUUUUCUACAACUCAUUUAUAAACAUCUUAGGUUGAUUCAAUAUAUAUCAAAGUCAGUCAAUACAAACAAACAUUGUUGUCCAGAUUUGGACAGAUUCAGUAAUCACAUUUCAAUCAACCAUAACUUGACUUCUAGACCACCAAAAAGGGUGAUCCAAAACUUGUUGGAAAGCUUAAGAAAAGUACUACAACUUCUUUAUAAUUUAUAAGAACUGAUUCUAAGUUUAACUUGGGCAAACAAGGCCAUUUUCGAAAUCUGUACAGAAUCUGGACAGAUUCUGAUACUGAACUUGGGAGAAGCAAAACUUUUAGAUUAUUGGGCCUAUGGUAAUGAAAUUUUAGCAUGAGCAAGAUAAGGAGGUUAUCUACAACUUUUAUAUAUAACAUUUUCACAGGAAAUAUGAUUUGCUUCACUAGAUUAGUUGCACAAUCAAAACUGUACACGCAGUCCAAACAGCAAACAUUCCAAUUGGGUUCAUAUUUACUUCUACAACUUUCAUGCUUGACACUUCCUAAUCACAUAUAUAGAUUACUUAUACAUUAUAACCAUGAAUCCAUUCACUUCAUAUAACCUAGUAUUUUUAAAUCUACUCUCACUUCAUGCAAACAAAGAACUAAUUAAUCAUACUUUGCAUACACAUAUAUCCAAUCAAGCACAUUCCAUACAGUAUAUCAUCACACAAGAAGAACUCAUUUUAUUCAUGCUAUGCAUAUGCCUAAACAAUUUAAUCCUUCUAUACAUAUUCAUUAACCAAACAUAUGGCAUACAACAAAGCAUCACAAAGACAAGGGAAAGAGAGGAAAGAUACUUUCCUAUCGUCACCAUAGAACAAAACACACAGACAUAGUCGCGGAUCUAGAGAUAUUCACCACGACACACCUGUGCUACAAACAAGAUAUUCAUCGUAUUUAAUACAUCUAAUCACUUCAGGCAUAGAACCAAAGAAUAAGAGCAAGGAAUCGGCUCACCAAUACAAAGCGCGACUCAGAUCCACAAUAUCAACGACAAUCCCAAUUCGAACAUUUCGUCGAACACCUAGCAUGUGUUAUGCUGGGAUUUGCUUCUUCUCACACUCACAAGAAUCCUUUCUUCCAAUCUGCACACAUGAACAUAUAUAUUUCAGCACUUACUCCCAUAUGCACAACAUAAUCCGCAGCAAGGGACAUAGGCUCACCUACAAAAGAUGGGGAGGGUGCCGGCCAUGGAAAACACAGAGGGGCUGCCUUGAGAACUUAGGGCAGGGGCGAGCUCGGCUAGGGCUGGGGGAAAACAGAGCAAGGGCAGCCAGGGAGAGGGGCUGGGGCGAGCUAGGGCUGGGCACAGAAGGAGGGCGAGCUUGGCAUGGAGAGGGGCUGCCAUAAGAACAACAAGGGAGGGGCAGAGGGCGGUCAUGGCAGAGGCGAGCUCCAUGGAGGGAGGGGCGUUGGCCACCAAGAAGGGGAGGGCGCCAUGGGAACCAGGGAGGAGAUGGUGAGCAGAGGGGGGGGGGGGCGAGCUGCAGCACCAGAGAGAGGGCGUGAGGGCGAUGAGAGGGGCGGCGAUGGGAAGAUGCCAGGGAGAGUGGCGGCGGUGGGAAGAUGCCAGGGAGAGUGGCGUGGGGAGAGGAUAAGGAAGAGAGAGAAGGAUUAUUCCCACCUUUUCUCUAUUUUCUUUCAACAAACAUUAUGUGCAAAUAUCUAACUCCUAAAUUUUGUAAAAGUUCACAAGAGUUAAUCAUAAACACAUUUCAAACUCUAAGGUUUGUGAGAGUUCAAUUGAGCCAACCCAAAAUAUACUUAGGAUCCCAAUUUCAUUUUCCAGAUUACGAAAUAGAACAACCAACUGAUUUGAAAUCAUUCGGCUUUGGUUCUAAUUAAUUUGUUCAUGACAAAAUAACAUGAUUGAGUUGAGAUUGCCAAAUUCGUAUUUGUUUCAUCGAUUAACUUGAACCAACAAAAACUCGACAUCCCGAAAGGUUAUUAAAGUCUGAACUCCAAAACUAGUGUUUAAACGGGAUACAAUUGAAAACUCUAGAAGAUGAUCACAACAACAGCCCGCGAGCCUAAGAACCACCAUGACACUAGCAUGUCGGACACGCGGCAGUGGAGUGACGGAAAAAUUAUAGUUUAGGCAAGACGUCGAGGGCUCAACCCAAACGAUACUGGAUUCGAUGUUCCGAAGAUUACUAAAGGCUAAAUUUUAAAAGAAAUAGAUUUGGAAAAAUUUAGACAGAGGGAGGCAGACACGAUAUCAAAAUCGUGAUAAACGAGGUUGAUUAAAAAUUAGUGACAUUUACAUUCACAGCUAUCACGUGUUACAGGGGGCGACGACGGCGAUGUCGGGAGGAGACAGGGACGGCGUGGGAGGGAGAGUUAGGUAGAUGGGCCCCUAGUGGGCCUUAGGGUUAGGGAGGGUUUUCUUUUUUUAUGUCGAAAUGCAUUUUUAAAUUACUCAAAAAUGCAUAAAAAAUUUACCAAAUAAAUAAUAAACAUUUGAAUAAAUUAUUAUAAAUGCAAAUAAAUAAUAAAUAUUUGAAACGACUUUCAACUCGAAUCUAAUAUCAUAUAAGCACAAAGAACACAAUUGCAUACUAUAGUCAUGUCCAUACAUAAACAGACCAUGAAAUAAACGUACAAGCAAUAUUAAAAAGGAAUAAAUCACCACACAAUUUAGCGAUCAAUGUUUACUUGUUUUAAUUAAUUUUUAGUCACUAACAUCUAUACAGGUACGUUCAGGCUAUAAGAUUUGAUAGUGAUCCUUGCUCUAUAGCGACCCACCGCUAGUCCCUGACGACAUCUAUAGCGACCAACCAUAAGUUGUUACAUUUCUAGACUUUUAGCAACCAACCGACCGUUGCUACAAAAGGAUUUAGCGACUGACCGUCGGUCCCUAACCUUUAGCAACCAACAGUUGGUACCUAAUAAGGGUCGCUAAAGAUCAACCGUCGUGUAGUGCAUGUAAUCCAAACUUACAAAUAUUUUAUAACAUUUCAAAGUAUAAUAUUUUAAUCACAUUUGUAAUCACUCUGAUAAUGUAAACUUAUUGUAAUUUGAAAUUUUGUAAUAAAAAUUCCGCUGCAAAAACUUUGGUAUGUGAUUUGUGUUUAUUUAAUCUUGCGAUCUUGGUAGUAGUGGUUUAUCCGAGGUCCCCUGGGACACUCGGACAGAUCCUAUUAAGUUAUCGGGCACACAUGCAUAGCUGUUUGAGGUCUUUGAGAUAAGGAUAGGUGCAUGUGGGUCAUAUAAUUUUGGAGGAUCCACCACAGCUGGUGUCGGAGCAGGAUUAAGCAUAAUAUGAUCACAUACGUACUUUUAAAAUAAAGUUUUGAUUUUAAAAAGUCUAUUUUCAUCCAAACAUAUUGUUUGGUUUAAAAAAACAUAUUUGAAAAACUAUAAUGCUAGCGACAUCCUCUAUUAAGCCCUAAAAUUAAGGACUAUCAUAGAUCCAAAUACUAACCCACAACCUGGGGAACGUUUAGAACGAGCAUGCAUCAUGACAUAUAACCUUAAAUUCAACCCCCAUGUAGCUAUUUGAGAGUUUCAUCCAGCCUAUUCAUGCUACCCGUCCUUGCUUUUCUGUCUUGUCUUUUCAAAUCUGUGGGAUUGGGAGAUAAGUUCUCUUUUGUUGACAGAAUGAGGACUCGUUCUGGAUUGGUUCAUGGUGAGGGCACUUCCCAGAAUAAGGCUAACACAUCUAAUCCACAGUCAACAUCCGCGCUUGAGAAUGCAGUUGCACAACUCAUUAGUGUAGGCAUUGAUCAUACUCACCUUCUCCAUGAGUUGGUUCAACGUGGUCAGUGGGAUCCAAAUGCUGCUAGUACUUACAAGGAAUUUUUGGACACGCAACCACCAGUUUUCACUAGAGCUGAAGAUCCACUGGAAGCUGAGGACUGGCUUCGAACUAUUGAGCAGAAGUUUGGACUCAUCCAUUGUGAUGGCAUUCAGAAAACCCAGUUUGCCGCUCAACAACUCCAGGGUCAAGCUGGAGCCUGGUGGGCAAAAUAUUGUGCGACCCAGCCAGAGGGAUAUCAAGUUCCUUGGGUUGAGUUCUGUGAGGCAUUUCGGGCACAUUAUAUUCUGAAGGGUACCAUGAGUAUAAAAGUUGAUGAGUUCUUUAACUUAAAGCAAGGUGAAGGGGAGAGUGUUAUGGAGUAUUUGGAGAGGUUUAAUCAGUUAUCUCAGUAUGCUGCAGAUUAUGUCAAUACUGAAGCCACAAAGAAGUUCUUUUUCAUGCGUGGCCUUAAUAUGAAGCUCCAACGCUUGAUGGCACCCAAUGUGGCUGAAAGUUAUAAUGAUGUAGUCAGUCAGGCCAUUAUGGGUGAUGAUAAGAUUCGCCUUCAUCAAGAGUCUAAGAGAAAGAAAUUUGCCGAAGAAUCCUCUAGUUAUAGUAGUUGACGUCAGAGGAUUGUUUAUCAACCUAUCAUUUGUUCUCUUGAUCCUCCAUCCCAGUUACCUAGUUCACAGUCAUGUGUCCGACAGGCCGUUGUUCCUUUUGUCCCACAUCAGUCGGAUGCCCCAAGCAUUUGUUCCAAAAACCUUUUGGUCAACAGAAUCCCAUGUGAUAACUGCAGGAAGUCAGGAAACACUACCCAAGAUUGUCGUUUGCCUAAACCAGUGGCUGAGCAACAGUCGCUAACGACUCCAUCUCAGAGUAUCCGACAGAAUACUAGAAAGAAAAACAGGACUGUUCCUAGGAUGGGGCAGGUCAAUCUCACUCAUACUCAUGGAAUUUAUGAAGGUGCCCCUGUUACGAUGGGUGUGUUUUAUGUCGCCAACCAUCCUGCAGUGACUCUGUUUGAUUCGGGCGCAUCUCAUACCUUCAUCAAUAGAGCAUUUGUUGUGAAGUAUCAAUUACCAAUUGAAGAAGGGAAAGAUACUUUCUGUAUACAAUCCCUGGAGGAUGCAUCUAUACUAAGGAAAUGGUGGAAAAGGUGCCCAUAAAUCUGGAGGGUCACAUUUUUCCUACCACCUUACUUGUCCUUCAGAAGCAGGAUAUAGAUGUGAUCCUUGGCAUGAACUGGUUACGUCAACAUGGAGCUAUUAUUGAUACAUUGCAACGGACAGUUCAGUUGGAUUCACCCAAUGACAGUUCUAAAUUGCUAAUCCGGUUGCCGACUCCUAAGAGAGCAGUAGAAAGAGUAUGUGAUGUUACCAUUAAAGAGAUAAAGGAUAUACCGGUAGUCAGAGAGUUUCCGGAUGUGUUCCCCGAAGAUUUGCCUGGUUUACCUCCAGAAAGAGAUGUGGAAUUUGUAAUUGAAUUGCAGCCAGGUACCGCACCCAUAUCUAGAAGGUCGUAUAGAAUGCCACCUAAGGAGUUAGCAGAGCUAAAGACUCAGUUGCAAGACUUGCUAGAUAAAGGUUUCAUUCGGCCAAGUUCAUCACCUUGGGGUUGUCCUGCCCUAUUUGUGAAGAAGAAAGAUCAAACACUGAGGUUGUGUGUUGAUUACCGACCGCUCAAUGAGGUGACUAUCAAAAACAAAUAUCCUCUCCCUCGCAUUGAUCUGUUGUUUGACCAGCUCACAAGAGCAAAGGUGUUCUCCAAGGUUGACCUUAGGUCAGGUUAUCACCAGAUAAGAAUCCGUCCUGAAGAUGUUCCCAAGACCGCUUUCACUACUCGAUAUGGUCUUUACGAAUAUUUGGUUAUGUCCUUUGGUCUGACUAACGCUCUAGCUCACUUCAUGUAUUUAAUGAACUCUGUGUUCAUGCCGGAGCUCGACAAGUUUGUGGUUGUGUUCAUUGAUGAUAUCCUGAUAUACUCCAAGAGCAAGGAAGAACAUGCAGACCACUUACGUAUUGUUCUAACGCGGCUCAGAGAACACCAACUAUAUGCUAAAUUUAGCAAAUGUGAGUUUUGGUUGGAUAAAGUUCACUUUCUAGGUCAUGUCUUGUCUGCUAAGGGUGCUGUCGACCCAGGCAAGGUCAAGGAUAUCCUAGAUUGGAAACCUCCCACUACUGUGCAUCAGGUCAGAAGUUUUCUUGGAAUGGCGGGCUAUUAUCGUCGCUUUAUUCCAGAUUUCUCUAGAAUAGCCAAGCCUAUCACCGAACUGCUCAAAAACCAUGUCAAGUUUGUUUGGUCACCUGAGUGUGACAAAGCUUUUGAGAAGCUGAAGAAGCUAUUGACUACAGCACCAGUGCUAGCUCAACCAGAUAUCGCAAAGCCAUUUGCUGUGUAUUGCGAUGCUUCUGGCAUUGGCAUUGGAUGUGUACUGAUGCAAGAACGUGUGAUUGCCUAUGCUUCUCGGCAACUCAAGAGUCAUGAAGAGAAUUAUCCAACCCAUGAUCUUGAGUUGGCUGUUGUUGUUCAUGCGCUCAAGAUUUGGCGCCAUUAUCUGCUAGGUAAUACAUGUCACAUUUACACUGACCAUAAGAGUCUGAAGUACAUUUUUACCGAGUCCGAAUUGAACAUGAGAUAGAGAAGGUGGCUAGAGUUGAUUAAAGAUUAUGAUCUUGAAGUUCAUUAUCAUCCUGGCAAGGCUAAUGUUGUGGCAGAUGCUCUUAGCCGUAAGUCUCAGUGUAACUGUCUUUCGGCAAAACCUUUAACUGUUACAUUGUGCCAGGAAAUGGAAAGGUUGAAUUUGGAAAUAGUUCAUCAAGGAACCAUAGCUAAUCUCGUUCUUGAAUCAACUAUCUAGAGUCAAAUUGUUGAUGCUCAAAAGGUGAACAAGGGAAUAGCUCAUAUCAAGGAGCGAGUUGUAGCAGGAAGGGCUACAUGUUUUAGAAUUGAUGAAAAUGGUGUCCUUUGGUUCCAAAACCGUUUGGUAGUCCCAAAAGUUCCUGAGUUACGUCAACAGAUACUUGAUGAAGCUCACUUGUCUCGAUACUCCAUUCAUCCGGGAAGUAACAAGAUGUAUCAAGAUCUGAAACAAAGGUUUUGGUGGACCAAAAUGAAGAUUGAAAUUGCUCGCUAUGUCGCCAAGUGCAAUAUUUGUCAAAGGGUGAAGGCUGUGCACUUAAAAUCUGCCGGACCACUACAACCAUUGCCUAUUCCAGCUUGGAAGUGGGAAGACAUCAGUAUGGACUUCAUCGUCGGUCUGCCCAAGACAUCGAGAGGGUAUGAUUCUAUUUGGGUCAUUGUGGAUCGUCUUACCAAGUCAGCCCAUUUCAUCCCCGCCAAGAGCAAUUAUCCUGUUCUCACUUAUGUUCAAUUGUACAUCGCUCGUGUCUUAAGUCUGCAUAAAGUACCUAAGACAAUUGUGUCAGAUAGAGGUCCACAGUUUGUCUCCAAGUUUUGGGAGGAGUUGCAUAAGUCAUUGGGCACUAAACUGAUUCACAGUUCAGCCUAUCAUCCUCAAACGAGUGGUCAAACAGAAAGGGUCAAUCAGAUACUGGAAGACAUGUUGAGGGCAUGUGUUCUGGUCUUUUCAGAAAAAUGGGAUGAAUGUCUCCCUCUUGCCGAAUUUUCUUAUAAUAACAGUCAUCAAGAGAGUAUCAAGAUGGCACCCUUUGAAGCUCUGUAUGGUAGAAGAUGCAGGACUCCUUUAAACUGGUCUGAACCUGGAGAAAGAUGUUUCUUUGGACCCGACCUGGUAAAUGAAGCCAAGGAAAAGGUUCAACUUAUCCAACGCAACCUGAAGAUAGCACAGUCUCGUCAGAAGAGUUAUGCUGACCGAAAGUGUUGACCCUUGGUGUUCAAGGUGGGUGAUUAUGUCUAUCUAAAGGUAUCACCAAUGAAAGGUGUUAAUCGCUUUGGCGUUAAAGGAAAACUCGCACCUCGCUAUAUUGGUCCCUUUCGAAUCAUACAACAGUGUGGACCGGUAGCUUAUCGUCUUCAGUUGCCAGAGCAUAUGUCUGCAGUUCAUAACGUGUUCCAUGCAUCACAACUGAAGAAAUGUCUUCGAGUGCCCGAGCAAGUUAUGGAUGUCUCAGAGGUCAAUCUUGAGCCAGAUCUGACUUAUUCAGAAUAUCCAAUAUGAGUAUUAGAUCAGAAGGAUCGCAUCAUUCGAAGGAGAACCAUCAAGUUUUAUAAGGUGCAAUGGAACAAACAUUCCGAAGACGAAGCUACUUGGGAAUCUGAAGACUUUCUUGUGGAGAAUUUUCCAGAUUUUCUUGCUUCGGUUUAAAAAAAACUUACAGUAUUGUAUUGUAAUCGCUAGCUAGCAAGUGCAACUUGGUACAUCAGCCGGUUGGUGUGUAAAUAAGUUCGAAAUGGUUGUGAGUACUACCUUGUCUUUCCCGCCUUAACCUAAGCCUUAGUUGUUCUUAAAUCUCGGGACAAGAUUUCUUUUUAGGGGGGUUGAGCUGUAACACCCUAGGUGUUAAGCGCCACUAAAAUUUAAGCAUGACAUCAUCUUGAGCAUCAGCAUCCCAUGUGAUUAUUCCGAAAAGGUUAAUCAUGUGUUGCAUUCACUUUAGAAUAAUAUAACUUGUAAUGCUUAUGCAUGGUUUGUGAUGAAAAUGUGUGUUGCUUUGUUAAAAGGCGUAUUUAAGGAUCGAAAUUAUUUUACAUUCUUAGGAAAAAUAAAACUGGAGAAAGCCUUAUUUUUAUUUCUGUUGGGGCGAAGGCGAAGACGCCACCCUUCGCUCGAUGCCUUCGCCGCAAUCGUUGGACCAACGGAGACAAGACAACGGACAGGCUCACCCUCCGUCCCAUACGUCAACGGACAAAGACCUGUGACGAGGUCGUCCCAUCUUGCGACCUCGUCCGGCAUGGAGGCCCACGUGUGAUCCGGCCCAUUGUAACAGGCCCUGCGUGGCCGCUGCGUGUUACGGGCCUAAUUUGUAAAGGCAUCCCUGUAAUUACGGUCUGUAACCCCGCUUUAUGGGAAUAUUCCGGGGAUAACCUAGGUGUCUGAGGGCACAUGCGUCCUUAACACAGGACGCUGGCACUCAGAUACCUAUAAAUACCCCCGCACAGUGCCCUUGAGAGGCUAGAUUAACAUAGCUAUUGCCAUCUCGUGCGAGAACCCUGUUUACGUCACUACACACCCCCGUUGGAUCCCCUUGCACCAGAGAGCAAGUUCCAACAUUUGGCGCCCACCGUUCGUGCUACGAAAAAACCACCCGCGAUGGCACCUAAGAAAGCUAACUCGAAGGCUGACGAGGCUGCGAAGGCAGCACUGCUUGCCGCAAAAAAGGGCAAGGCCCUCGCCCUCACCCACUCCACCCACCAAGAGGCUACUGAAGACGACGUUCUCCGCACCUGCGAAGACGACGCUCUCCGCACCUGCGGCCCCGAAGGACAACCGCAACCUCCCCCAGGCUUCGCCCCACCGGAGGGCGCGGACCUCACCGAGGACGGCGAGGUCCUCGGCGUCUCAGCGGAAGAACAGUUACAGUUGCGUGCUUUGCGCAUCAAGAACCGCAAUCUCCAGAGGCAAAAGGAGAUACUGGAGGCCAAGCGCCAGCGCGUGUCUGCAUUAGCCAAGGUGCGGCAAAUGAUACGCGACGAAGAGCAGAAGGCCCAGGACCUCGAGCGGGAGAUCGCGCUGAUGCAGCGCGAAGGCCACCUCGGCCUGCAGCACGGGCCACCCCUGCAGCAGCGCGCGCAAAUGGAAGACCUGCACUUCCCCCAGCACGACCACACUUUCCCACACGCCGCGCCAUUCCAAGGGGUCAACUACCUCGACGAGCGAAGUCCCCUGGCGCCACACCUGCAAGUGACACCCUGGCCUGCCAACUUCCGGGCAGGGACCUAUCCCAAGUACAAUGGCAGCACGGACCCAGCACAGUACAUCAUGAGUUAUCAGGUCGUCGUUGCAUCUUCCGGAGGGGACGACGUCACGAUGGCCAAGUCUUUCAUCAUCGCCCUCGAAGGCCCAGCUCUCACCUGGUUCACCAGGUUGCCCUCGCUGUCCAUUAACUCCUUGAGAAGCCUCCGGGACAAAUUCCUGCUCAACUUCCAAGGGUACCGCCCAGACACCGACGCCUUGGCCGAACUCUCACUCUGCAAGCAGCUGGAAAAAGAAACUCUGCGGGAGUAUUACCGCAAGUUUCUAACACUCAAGUCACAGCUGCCCUCAGUUGAUGACCAGAUCGCCAUCCACUACGCCAUCAGUGGCCUUCGCGUCGGCGUCCUUUACAGCCACUGCAUCAGGGACCCGCCCAAGACCCUCCAGGAAUUAUAUCAGCUCUUUGAAAAAUAUGCCAAAUCUGAAGAGCUCCACCAGCGCAAGGUUGAGUCUCAGCGGAAACCCAAAGAUGCUCCACAGUCCAGCCGCACGUGGACGAGGACUCCGCAGCCAGACUCCGGUCGAGACGGUCGCAAUCAGCAGCAAGUGCACAACAUCGCCAACCAGCACCCCGCUGCUGACGCCCCUCGCCGCUAGGAGUAUCCCCCCAGGGCCGCAGAAACAGAACUCGCGGUAGGGGUCGGGGGCGUGCGCAGCCGCCGCGCCGAUUCUACUGUCUUUUUCAUGGCGAAGACUGCGCCCACCAAACCAGAGACUGCCCAGAAACGAAGGCCACCAAAGACAGGAUGGCACGGGCGCAGCCAGCCGACAACCCCAGAGUUGUCGCACACACUUAUAAGCAACCCCCUCCACCAUACAUCCACGCCCCCGCCCCGCAUCCACCGCACCACGCAUACCAACACCACCAGGAAGUACAAAUCGUACAUCCCCCACCCCCACCCCCACACCAGCAACAUCAGAACAUCCCCCACCCCAACGCCCCAAAACAAGAAGACUUCGCCGAUCAGCCGUAUCGCGGAGUCAUUCAUAUGAUCAUCGGGGGGUCCAGCACCGACUUCGACACUAAGCGGCAGAAGCGGGACCACUACCGCAGCAUCAACCACGUCGCCAUCACCGGCCUAGUCGUGCAGACGAAGUGGUCCCACGUACCGCUAACCUUCGACGCACGAGACGUCGACCUGCGCAGCGCCCCCCACAUCGACGCCAUGGUUUUCAGCUGCAGCGUGGCAGGCUGGGACCUGCACAAAGUCCUAGUCGACAAUGGCAGUCAAGCAGACAUCAUUUUCCUCCAUGCCUUCGACCGCAUGGGCAUAAGCCACAGCUUGCUCAAGCCUUCGGACAACCCAUUGUAUGGUUUCGGCGGCAAGGGCACUUUUCCUAUCGGGAAGAUAGAGCUGCCUCUCUCCUUCGGUGUAGCACCCAUUGCCCAAAGUGAGCAAAUAACCAUUGAUAUCGUCGAUAUGGUGUAUCCGUACAACGCCAUCAUGGGCCGGGGCUUUAUCAACAAGUUUGAGGCAGCCAUUCACGGACUGUACCUGUGCAUGAAGAUACCAGGUCCGUUAGGCGCCAUUACGGUCUACGGCAAUCAACAGACUGCACGCAACAUAGAGCGGGACUUCGUCCCCGGACAAAGAAAUGUGCACUGCCUCACGGCCCAGCGCGAGGUCCCUGCGUCCGUCAGCCCAACCGACAAAGAGCACGACAAGGCACAGCUGCAGAGCAACGACGGGACCAAGACUGUUCCCCUCGACCAGGCCACGCCCAAGCAGACAGUCACUAUCAGCGAAGACCUCACUUCGCACGAAGAGGAGAAACUCCUCUGCUGCUUGUCCAAGAACAAAGACGUCUUCGCCUGGUCAGCCCUCGACCUGGUCGGGGUCAGCCGAUCCAUAAUUGAGCACAGCUUGGGAAUCGACCCUUCGGUGAGACCAAAAAAACAGCGGCUUCGCAAAAUGUCCGACGAGAAGACAGAGGCCGCCAAGGCAGAGGUACACCGCCUCCUGGAAGCCAAAUUUAUCGAGCCAGUGGCUUACCCCACGUGGCUCUCCAACGUUGUGAUGGUGCAGAAAAAGAGCGGCAAGUGGCGAAUGUGCAUCGACUUCACCAGUCUCAACAAGGCCUGCCCAAAGGACAACUUCCUGUUGCCGCGGAUCGACAAAAUAGUCGAUAGAGCGGCCAGAUGCGAAGUCAUGUCACUCCUUGACUGCUUCUCCGGUUACCACCAAAUAUACAUGAAGGAGGAAGACAAGGCUAGCACCAGCUUUAUAACACCCUUCGGCACAUAUUGCUUCAUCAGAAUGUCGGAGGGACUCAAGAACGCCAGGUCCACUUUCUCCCGGCUUACCAAAACAGUGCUCGAGGGGCAAGUUGGCAGAAAUAUAUUCACAUAUGUGGACGACAUCGUCGUCGCCAGCAGGAGCAAGGAGGACCAUCUCUCUGACCUCGCCGAGACAUUCGCGAACAUGCGAGACGCACGACUUCGCCUAAACCCGGAAAAGUGCGUCUUCGGCGUUCGCCAAGGAAAAAUAUUGGGCUACCUGGUAUCACACCGCGGCAUCGAGGCCAACCCAACCAAAAUUCAGGCCAUCAUCAACAUGACGCCUCCGCAGUCCGCUAGAGACGUCCAGUGCCUGACGGGCAGGUUGGCCGCCCUCAACAGAUUCAUCUCCAAAUUUGCUGAGCGAAGUCUCCCUUUCCUCAAAACUCUCCCUGGCGCAAAAGACUUCGCUUGGGGACCAGAGCAGGCAUCGGCCUUUGCCUCAUUAAAAGAGUACCUAUCGGAGUUGACAGUCCUUACAAGCCCCGACUCUUCGCUACCCCUGUUGCUCUAUGUUGCGGCUUCACCACAUGCGGUCAGCGCGGCACUGGUGCAGGAGCAGACAGUUGACGGCGUGAUCAGGCAGUGCCCAGUCUAUUACGUCUCCGAAGUGCUAGCACCAUCCAAAUGUAACAUGACAGAACUGGAGAAGAUUGCCUAUGCAGUUGUUAUGUCUUCGCGCAAAUUGCGCCAUUAUUUUGAAGCAUUCAAGGUCCGAGUCACCUCAGACAGGGGACUAGGUGAAUUGUUCCGAAACUCGGAGGCAUUGGUCAGGAUUGCCAAGUGGGCGGCCGAGCUAUCCGGCGACCACAUCAAUUUCGAGCCCAGGACAGCCAUCAAAUCACAAGUCCUGGCAGACUUCGUCGUAGACUGGACUGGGCCAAUAACACAGCCGGACCCGUCCGCAGAGAAGGUUUGGACGAUUCACUACGACGGCGCAUGGUGCCACGCGGGGGCAGGCGCCGUUGCAGUCAGCACCUCACCCACCGGCAUUAAGAGCACUGCCCUUUGCCCUGGGCACCACGGCAGCCGCCGCGGUCACCACGGCAGGCGCAACAACAAGUUGGCCUUCGUCCGACCCUGCGACGUAUCAACAGAUUAAAAAAAACUCGAGCCAACGACUUACCAACAAGAUAAUCUUCCACACUAAUGUCGGUGGCGAAGUCGGCGACGCGCUUGCCCGGCGGUGGCAACUCUCGGGCCGCCUUCGCAGCCUCCGGCACCCUGCUGGACACAGGGGCGGCCUUCACAGACUUGGAACCACCGGCGGUAGCCGCCUUCGCAGCCUCCGGCGCCCUGCUGGAUGCAGGGACGACCGACUUUGCCGCCAGCGGCGGCUGGCUUCCGCCGGGGGCAGCAGCCUUCGUAGCCCCCCGCGACCUCUUCGGCCUGGCCUCAUGAAGCCUGACGACCGCCUGACGCUUCUGCGCAGACCCCUGACGAUCCUUGUCCAUCACUGCCGACACAACAGCAGCAAUAUUCCGCCCGUAAGGAAACACUUUCCAAUCACGAACCAUGCGAGAUGUAAAAAAGUCUUCGCCGGCCGCGCGGGGGAUAGGAACAUUCUUAGGCCACCAACCCCCGGUAACCCUCAGCAACCGCGCCGAAGACUCCCAGAGCUCGGGCGAAGACAUCCUUCCCCCCGGGGCCGCGCAUGUCCUCAUCAAUUCCCUAGCAAAACCAUCAGAAACCCCCAGUCCUCCCAUAGCAAUACCUAGUUUCCUCUUCUUAGAGGACAGGGCGGCCGCCGGCGCGGGGUCGUCUCCAGUCUCUACCACCGGUUUCUUCCCGCGACGAUCCACAUCGUCUUGGCCGGGAUAACCGCCAUACAGCAGACGGUUCAACUCGAACACCCUGUUCAAGCGGUCAUUAGACCCGCGAAUAUCCCAGCUACGCUGGCCCUCUGUCUUCGGCACGUACGGACCGACGAUCCGCACCGCCCCAUCCUCCACCUCACGCACAAAGGCGGCCGGAUCGCGGCUAUGCAGAUCCAGCGCGAAGGCGGGACUUCGCACCAGCUUCCCACCAUGGGAAGGCAUCUGGCGAGGGCAUACUUCGCCCAACGCCCAGCCAUGCGCCAAAGGCCAUACCCCGUACGCCACAAACUCCUCAACCAAAUCGCGCCCGCUGCUCAGGCCGGCGACGCACCGAAGGGCCCCUUCGUCUGCAUCCUCCUCCGCCACUUCAAACGGCGGGUAUGCUGAGUAAUAAUGUGAGCACAUCUCGGACACGGGGAGCCCCGGAUGGUCUUCGACUGUGCCCUCCGCGACGUAGAACCAAAAUUCAUGCUAGUUGCCCCACUUGUUGCGGGCGCAAGGAACCAACUCAACUACCUCCAUCGAGGUCUUGCCGGUCUUUGGCGUAAAUGUACAGGACCCAAACUGGGCAACUUCAUUUCUGAUCAUCCUCUUCUGCCAGUGCAGGCAAUAGUACUUCACGAAGACUUCGACUGAUGGUUGUCCGCCGUACGAAGUCGUCGCCCAGACAUACUUCGACAGAGCCACCACGGCAUUCGGAGUCAGCUGAUGGAUCUGAACAUUAAAUCUGCGCAAGACUUCUCCCACAAAUCGGUGCGCAGGCAGGCGAAGACCAGCGGCAAAGAACGCCUCGAACACAACCAACUCGCCUUCCGGCUCGAGGACCUCCUCCGUCCCCGGGACACGAGCGACUCUGCCGCCAAUGUAACCAAGCUGCUGCAUAUCUUGCACGCGGACCGAGGACAUCAGCGACACACCGAAAUCCACUGUAUCGCCGGCGCGCAACUCCUCCGCCGCCACAGUGCUCAACGUCUCCUCAGACGACGCGUCGGCUGGCGGCGUAGCGGCAGCAGAAGAAGAAGAGGUCGGCAUCGCUACGUACCGUCGGCGGCGGCGGGCGGUCUGCUUCACUCGGGCCAGAUCUCCGGCGAACAAGAGCAAGGAGGGCGGACGAGCAGCAAGAAGGUGGAAAAGAUAGCUAGGGUUUUCACGGAGCGCGGAAAGAUAAAGUUCAAAACGCGCCGCCCCCCGCCCCCUUUUAUACACAGGGCGCGGCGCUUCGGGAAACCCGCAGUCCAACAGUACGGUGUCAAUCAACGGUCAUGUAAAAAACCCCCGCGGAACCACUUCGAGCGAGGGCAGCGUCUCCGCCAUCUAGCGACGUCUUCGGCACUAGAUGACAUAGUCGAACUGGUCCCUCGGAGGGCAAAUGUUGGAGCGAAGGCGAAGACGCCACCUUUCGCUCGAUGCCUUCGCCGCAAUCGUUGGACCAACGGAGACAAGACAAUGGACAGGCUCACCCUCCGUCCCAUACAUCAUCGGACGAAUACCUGUGACGAGGUCGUCCCAUCUUGCGACCUCGUCCGGCAUGGAGGCCCACGUGUGAUCCGGCCCAUUGUAACAGGCCCUGCGUGGCCGCUGCUCGUUACGGGCCUAAUUUGUAAAGGCAUCCCUGUAAUUACGGUCUGUAACCCCGCUUUAUGGGAAUAUUCCGGGGAUAACCUAGGUGUUUGAGGGCACAUGCGUCCUUAACACAGGACGCUGGGCACUCAGAUACCUAUAAAUACCCCCGCACAGUGCCCUUGAGAGGCUAGAUUAACAUAGCUAUUGUCAUCUCGUGCGAGAACCCUGUUUACGUCACUACACACCCCCGUUGGAUCCCCUUGCACCAGAGAGCAAGUUCCAACAAUUUAUUGGUAAAAAAAGUUUAUUUUGUUAUCAGAUAGGUCAUUUGGCCGAGUAGCAAGGGCUAGUUAUUAAUAAUUGCCGAAAUGAGUUAAUAAUAAACUUAGGGAUAAAAAGUUUAAUUUAUUACCAAAUAAGUCAUUUGGCCUCGUAAUUAAUGACCAGUCACAAAAUAACUACCAACGUGGGAUAAUAAUAAUUUUAGGAAUCAAAAUUAGGUUUGUGAUUUGUGUCGCAUUAAUUCGGAUCAGCAGGAAUUUAAUUAAAAAUUUAGAUUCCAAAUUAGUCAAAUAUAAAUUAUUCUAAAACUUUUGUAAUAUGAAUUCUAAUCAAGCGGAGCAGUAAUCCUAAGAUAAAAAUUGAGAAUAUUGUUGUGUACGAAUUUAAAUUGGAGAGAAGAAUAGAUAAUUAUUAGGGAUAUAUGGAGAUAUUAUGGGAAAAGAAAGAUUUGUUUUUUUUCUUUCUUCUUGGGUGAACGUGCACCUCAUCUGGCAUUCUCCGGAGACUUUUCUUUCCAGGAGAUUUUUUUUUCACGGCUAGCUUAUCCUCUCAUCCGGCAUUCUCACGACACGUAGCUUUCUAGCCGCUCUUCCCAUCCGAAUCACUCCACGCAUGUCUGUAAAAAUCUCACCGCUGUUGAUCCUCUCGCGAGCUCGGCUUCCAGCUGUGUCCGGUGUUGUCUUCAGCCGCCGCACCUGAAGCAACUCGCCUCUCUGUUCUUCCACGCAGCACCAGACGCACGACUCUCCUCUGUCUUCUCUGUGCCGCCUCCUCGCCGAGCUGCGCGCUGCCAACCGCGCCGGUGAACUCGCCCGGUCCGGCGCACUGCUCGUCUCGGCUCCUUUGGAAAUCCUUCGCGAACGUCUCGUCAAGUUGUCAGGCCUGUCUUCGAGUUUGGUGGAGUCCCAAGCUUGCGCGCCGUCGGCCUCUACCUCCUGUGUCCGAUCGUCGUCGCCCCUGCUCACUUCAUCCAACUGCUCCCUUCAUCUCGGCCGAGCUCGACGUCCAGCAAGCCGCCUGCUCGUGUUCCAUCUCUUCAACCAUCAGCUUCCGUGGAACACACUGGUAGGGGUUCUAAUCCCUGAAAUUGAUGUGGGGUGUGUGUUUAAGCGUGUAUGGGGGUGCUCUCUGUGCAUCGGAUUAGAGGUUAGAUGGUUGCCGAUAGCUGUUGUCGUCUGGAUUUGGCCGGCGGGGAAAAGGGAUCACCCUGUGCAUCACGUUGAAGAAGAAGGGGCUCUUUGUGUGAAAAAGAGAAGUCUAGGGGGUUUUGUUGAAAAGAGUUUUAGAGUUUUCUUUUAUUUCAGGAUUUGUACUAGAAUUAGAAGUGUUGUAGGAAAUUGUAGGAAAAUGCUAAAAAUACGAAACCAGUUUUUUUAGUUCACAAGAAUGAGUACUUAUUGAUAAAAAUAUUGGUUAGGUAAAAACUAUGAUUUUUAUGUGUCGUUUCUUUUUUAACAUAGGUUACUAAUGCUCAUUUAAUUUCCUGUAAUAAAUAUAUCUCCUAAAAUCCUGAAAAAUUUUAUGGGUAAUAUUUAGGCUUAGAUUAGCUUACAGAAAAAAGUUUGAUUCAAAUUGGAGUAUGUUAAGUUAGAUAACUAAUUUAAGAUUUUUAAAAAAUGCCUUUUAAAGAAAAUAUUUAAGUAAUUAAGAAAAAUCGAAUAGUAGUUUAAACUGUUUGUAGUGUUGAGUGAAGUCCAUGGACCACUAACACCUAGGUUGGCCCAUGACGUGUGUAAUUAUUUUCAAGGAUCUUACGUCCUUCACUUAGCAACUAGAAUUUAUGGCGGUAACAUAGUGCAAUUGUACCGGGUAAGGAUAGUAUGCUUGGGGUUUUAUCGUUUAAAUUCUUUUUAUUGCAUCUGUGUCCAUUUCAUCGUCACAUCAUGAUCAUAGCAUGCAUCUUUACUGUACGUGUAGAUCACGUUGUCUGUUGAUCAAUCACUUGGUGGAGUAAUUUUCUAGAGACUGGUCAUCACCCUGAAGACUCGUGACAUUUUAUUUUCUUAGUCUUCGGCUCUUCUCUGCAACAAAGGCAAGUCCCGGUGCAUCCACCACUUUCCUUGUUGUUUACAAAACUUUUAUCACUUGAUAUGAUGCAUUAGGUGAUAGGAGUUGCGUGAUCAAACAAUUGAUGCAUUACCAACCUUGAGAAUUUGAAUAAUCAUUCCUUGAUACCUGUUUUAUGAAAAACUAGUGCUGCUUAGCCCUACUUAAAGUGAUAAGAUUUUUAUUUGAAAUUUAUUUUGAUUACUGGUUAUUGUUAUGUAUGAAUGAAUUUGAGUUAGAUAAUUAAUAUGAGAUUGGGCGGGUGGCUUGCAUCGUGAAAUGAGUCGGUGUAGUGCUCCGCCUGUUCGAUGUAGGCCUGAUGAGGUGAGACUUUGCAACUAGCCACAUGCUCCGGUAAGCCUGAACUCGGCUAUUCUCCGCGCACGGGGCGUGGGAGAUGGUGGGAGUAGCGUGUACCAUCCUCGCUAGAGGCUGGAUGGAGGAGUACUAUGCUCCCGGUUAGCGCGGACCGGUUCACGUUGUGGAGGAUCUGUGGGAACGGUUGACAUAUGCAAAGGUUAAGUGCUCCAUAUGUCGUGUGGUUAGGAAUCCCCAGCUGGGUAUAAUCGGUUCGAAUCGUCAUUGCUCCUCGGUUAUGGAGACUCGACUCACUGACCACUCAUCGUAGUUAAUAAGUGAAACAUGAAUUGGCUAAAAGAAAGCUAGAUAGAACAAGUGAAUGCUCUAGAUUAGGAAAAUCUAGAAUCAGGUAAGAACUUAAAUUGAUAAUUAAAAGAUGGCUUAAGGAUCCACUAUUAGUAAGCGUUUCUGCAAAAUAAGUCCUUGAUUAUUGCUUAGCCUUACCUUGAUUCCUAAUCAGCCAGCAUAUCCUUGAGAGUCUUUUUCCUUAGUCGGGUAAGACUUGCGAAAGUACACUUCGUACUCAGGGUUUUCGAACCCAUAUUGUUGCAGGUACUAGAUUUGUGCUGCUAUUUAUGGUGCUAAGUGCCGGUGGGCUCGGCCUCCCUAUAUAAGUAUAUCACAUCUUUAUCUUCUUUUUGAGGAUUGUCACUUAUGCUAGCAUGUAAUCCAAACUUACAAAUAUUUUAUAACAUUUCAAAGUAUAAUAUUUUAAUCACAUUUGUAAUCACUCUGAUAAUGUAAACUUAUUGUAAUUUGAAAUUUUGUAAUAAAAAUUCCGCUGCAAAAACUUUGGUAUGUGAUUUGUGUUUACUUAAUCUAGCGAUCUUGGUAGUAGUGGUUUAUCCGAGGUCCCCUGGGACACUCGGACAGAUCCUAUUAAGUUAUCGGGCACACAUGCAUAGCUGUUUGAGGUCUUUGAGAUAAGGAUAGGUGUAUGUGGGUCAUAUAAUUUGGGAGGAUCCACCACAACUACACCCACUUAAGAUACCCGAUUGGAAGUGGGAAGAGAUUGGUAUGGAUUUCAUUACUAGAUUGCCUCGCACCUAGAAAGGAUAUGACUCUAUAUGGGUGAUUGUGGAUAGAUUGACUAAAGUAGCCCAUUUCAUUCCUGUCAAGACUACUUAUAAAGGUUCUCAACUAGCAGAGUUAUAUAUGACCCGGAUUGUGUGUUUACAUGGAGUGCCAAAGAAGAUCGUGUCUGAUCGAGGUCCACAGUUUACCUCAAGAUUCUGGAGAAGCUUUCAUGAGAAUAUGAACACCAAGUUGAACUUUAGUACUGCCUAUCACCCUCAAACUGAUGGACAGACUGAAAGGACUAAUCAAGUAUUGGAAGAUAUGUUGAGAGCUUGUGCCCUUCAGCAUGGAGGAAGUUGGGAUAAAAUUCUACCAUAUGCUGAGUUCUCAUAUAAUAAUAGCUAUCAGGCCAGUCUGAAGAUGUCACCUUUUGAAGCUUUAUAUGGCAGGAAAUGCAGGAAUCCACUAUAUUGGGAUCAGACUGGAGAAAGACAGUUCUUUGGGCCUGAACUGAUUCAAGAGGCAGAAGAACAAGUCCGUAUAAUCCGGGAGAAUUUGAGGGUAGCUUAGACUAGACAAAAGAGCUAUGCUGAUAAUAGAAGAAGACCACUGGAAUUUGAGGACGGAGAUCAUGUAUACCUCAAAGUGUCACCACUUCAUGGAAUGAGGAGAUUCAAAGUCAAGGGAAAAUUGUCCCCUCGCUUUAUUGGACCAUUCAGAGUUUUUAAGCGAGUUGGGGAGAUGGCAUACCAACUCGAGUUACCUGAUAGUCCUAUCUGAUGUGCACAAUGUAUUCCAUGUGUCUCAACUGAAGAAGUGUCUCUGUGUCCCUAAGGAACAGUUGCCAAUGGAAGAGCUCAGUGUUCAGGGUGAUCUAACUUACACGGAAUAUCCUAUCAAGAUUCUUGACACUCUGACUCGAGUUACAAGAAAUAAGGUUAUAAAGAUGUGCAAAGUACAAUGGAGUCACCAUGGAGAAGAUGAAGCAACAUGGGAAAGAGAAGAAGAGCUCCGCAUAGAUUUUCCCUAUCUUUUCCCUAGACUUUCUUAAAUCUUGAGGACGAGAUUCUUUUUAAGGGGGUAGGAUUUGUAAUACCCAAUUUGUAAUAGAUAAUAAAAGAGGAGAAAAGUCAUUUCCUAUAUUUUAUGUGUGUGUUGAAUCUACUUAUCAUCACAUGUGAACACCAUAUUCAAAAACAAAUAACUAAUAAAAAGAUAUGCCACUAAAUUAUGCAUCAAGCCAAGGUUUUAUUUUGUGAGCAUUUUAUGAAAAUAUAAAAAUAAUGUAAAAAAAGAGAAAUAUGUUAAAUAUCCAAAUGGGGAUUUAAAUCCUAAAGAAAAUCCUAGAAUUGAGAAAAAGAGAAGAAAACACUAUACAAACAGGAUAAAAUAAAAAUAUAAAUGAACAAAAAUUCAGUGCAUAUUGUUAUUUAGAUAUAGACAUUUAACCUGAAUUUGAACUUCACACACAUAGAUUCAAACUUAAAAUUUAAAUUUAACGGAGAAGAGGGAUAAGAAGAAAAGAAAAUAUAAAAGAAAAGGGAGAAGAAACCUAAUUGGGCCUCGUCACGCGUUUUGGCCCAUCUGCAGAAACGUGCGCGCGCGUCCCAUUACCUCGCCUGCCCACCCGCCGCUGCGCGUUGACAUGUGGGCCAGCCCGCGCAGUCACUCAUACCUCACCCUCUCACUGGCUCUCGGGCUUGCGGUCAGCCUCUUCCCUCGCUCGCGGUCCAGCAACCACGCCCGCGCGGCCGCACGCUUCGACCACUGCCCGUUUGGGCCCGCUCGUCAGAUGGCCUGGCUGCUUCACGCGCCGUUUUGUCGCCGAUUAGUGGGCCCGAGCUACAUGGCUCCGUCUUCCCUGCGCGGUUGGGCGCAACAGCCUGGCCGAGCUCGGCGGGUCUCGCCCACUAGAACCGGACCACGUUGACCACAUAGGGGAUGCAUAAAAGGCUCGGUCGUCGACUCAAUCCACUCGUCCCCUUUCCUCUCGCCUUUCCUACAGCAAACGCAAGAAUUUCUCGCUGCUGCGGAAGGAAUCGGGGCCGCCACUUGUGAACCUCAGACUGUCGUCGACCGCGCCCUCGAAGUCUUGCCCGAGAGCUUCCUUGGAGUGGGGGAAAACUUCAUUUGGUGCCGCUGAUCAGGAUUGCUCGCCUGCGCACUGGCAAUUUCUCACCGCGCUCCUUCCACUGUGGAAUCGCCCUCGUCGUGGACAGCAUUGUUCCGACCGCCAUUAUUGGUGAGCACACUCCCCAAUUGCCUCAUGCUGUUGUCCUCCCCGUGAAUCAUUGUUCGAAUCGAAGAGUAGCCAUUAGAAUCGUAGAGCGCGCGGGGUCCGGCAAUGGUGCCGUCGCGUUCCGCGGGCGGUGAUGAACAGUGGGUAGAACACGUAUGGCCCUCGACUUCGCGAUGUGCGGCUCUUAUUAGGUCUGGGUAUGACGUUUCACUGGUAUGGAUUUCCCACCGUGGAUCUGUGAUCGUAUGGUGGACGGGCGGGUCGUGUUUCAUUAAAUCACGGCCAAUGAUCUCGGAUCUAACGGAUUUAGCUGCUUACCGAUUCGGCGAAAUGCGGAUCUAAAGAGUGCCGCUGAUAUCUAAUCAAACGGCCGAGAUUGGCGCGUACCUCUUCGCGAUGGCCAUUUCAUUAAAGAGACCCUAACCUCUCUAGAAAUCAACCCGCAGUACUACAAAUAGUGUUCUGAGUCUUGAAAUAACUUGCACAGAGGCCCCUGCUCUUCCCGUGCGCCCAGUCCAGAAGGUUAAGAAAAUCAGAUAAAAGAAUUAGAAAUUGAAUAUUUAAUAUGAAAAUAAAUGCUAGAAAUUGUAUAAUUCAUAGAAAAUUCAUAUGAACUCCAAAAUAACCCAUUUCAGUUUCGAAAUUUUUGUCAUAUUAUUCUCUAUCACUUAGAAUCUCUGUUUUGACAUGAAAACAAUAAGAAAAAUAAUUUCUCACUUAAUCCUAUUUCAAGCACAUAAAACCUUUGGAAAUUCAUAAAUUAAAAUCUAUAACUCCAAAAUUAAUGAUUCAUGUUCCCAUAAUUUUAUUUUAAUGUAUAGAUUAUUAUUAUAUAUUUUGUUUACAUGUUUGGUGUGAUGUUAAUUUUCUCUAUAUACUGUGCUUGUUUGUAUUGUGGCGAGUAGAAGAACCUGUGACUGAGGAUCCUGGUGACUAGCAGAUAGAAGUAGCUAAGCAGGAGCUCAUUGAAGGCAAGUUGUGCCCUUGAUCCACUUUUGUUACCCAAUAAUAUUCUUUAUUAUCAUUAUUCAAUGCAUAGGUUUAAUUGAUGGGACCCAAUAGGUCACCCUAGACUAUUUAUCUCUUUACCUUGUUUACCCCUGAAUCACUUGGGUAGUUUUAGCUACUGCUUUACAUGGUUUUGGGAUAAUAUUUUAUUGCAUCUAUGUUCCAAUUAUUUUGUUAUUCUAUUUAUGUUCAUGUCAAGAUCAUUAAUGUUAAUUGGAACAUGGAGCUUAACUUGAGAAACACGUGCCACCACAAGGGUUUAAUGGGACGCCCUUGGCUGACUAAUUAGGAAAGCUAGUGGAAGACUAUCUUACUCGAAAGGGGCAAGGGCAGUAGGAGAGUUGCAUGCAAGAAGGUUCUCGGGUUGAUUUUGCUGCGAUGGUGGUCAGACGGGGGAUUCUUACAAGUACUAUUCCCAUAUACUAUAGCGGGUUUUCGGAAGCUAGUGGAACUUUGUAAAGCUCUCGUAGUGUUACCCUGCCUCGUUUCCUUGAUAGAGGUGUAUGGGGCCCAUACAACCCCGUGGUAGAUGGACCCAUGGCAGAUGGGUAACAUGACUUGUGGGUAAAGGGUACAACCUCUGUAGAGUGUAAAACUGGUAUACUAGCUGAGCUCACGGUCAUGAGCAACUCAGGACUCUCGCAUGAUUAAUUUAUGGAACUUAAAUUCAAUUUGUCAUUUGCAUUGCAUGGGAUUAUUAUUAAUUUUGUUCUAUUACUUUAUUUAAGGUUUGGUAUUAACUUACAUCUAGUAACUGAUAAUAAAACUUUGACCAACUAAUUAAAAGCAAUGCUCAGCUUUAACCCCUGUUGUUGAUUAGGCUUACACAUCACAUGAACUCCCACCUUUGGUGAGUUCAUGCCCACUGGUUUUCCUCACAACUUGUUGAGCUAUGAUCAUGUGUGAGCUCACCCUUGCUGUCUCACACCCCCACAGGAAAAAGAACAAGUGGUUCAGGAGAAGCCACAAAGCGAGGAGUUUGAUCUGAUCUAGGUGGCAUUUCCCAGUUGACAUUAGCGCCAAGGAUGAUCCUUAGUUCAUUUUAUAUUUAUCUUUUAUUUUGUAAUAAGACUUCCGCUAUGUAAUAAAUACUCUGAUGUUUUUAAGACAUUAUCUCUAUACACUCUGUUAUUAUAUAUGUUGUCUUCUUGGCGCAUGUAUGAAAUGCACCUGGCUUUGUUCCUUAAAGCCCGGGUGUUACACUUUGACUAUUUACAAAAGAUUUUGAAAGGAUUUUUCCAAAAGAUUUGCAAAAACAAAUAAGUGGUGCAAAUGUGGUCCAAAAUGUUAAAUAAGAGAAAAGCAAUCCUGUCGGCGUUUCGAGACCGGGGGGUCCCCGAGCCGACGAGUGAAUGCGCUGCGUGCCCCAGCCCAGAUGGGUCGAGCGCGUGGGCGAGCGCGAAGG